rnacentral:lncRNA from 1 species
CCACUAACCCAUCUCCGUCGUCAGAUUACGAUUACGGAGGAUUACUAUACAAUCAAAAAUAUUUGGACAUUGUACUAUUUGAUAUUAUAAUCACAUCAUAAACCAUUCAUACACAAGCAUAUUGUCCCUAAAUCGAGUCCACGAGGCUCUAAAUAUAACCUAGAAACAAAUUGUGACCAAUUUGAAACAGUUUGGAAAGAUCAGGAAAAAGAUGCAAAAUUUUCAAAAACAGGGGUCACACGGUCGUGUGCCUCACACAGCUGAAACACACACCUGUGUCUCAGGCCAUGUAAUUAUCAAACUAGGGACAAACGGUUGUGUCCCAGCCCAUGUCCUCACCUGUGUAACUCUCUAAGUAGGGUCACACGGCCGUGUCACAAGCCCAUGUGCCAGGCCGUGUGUUAGACCAUGUAACUCAUUGACUUGCACACUAAAGAAAUCAUCAGAUGACACACAACUGUGUCGCCAAGCCGUGUGCCUCACACGGUUGAGUCACACGCUCGUGUCUCAGGCCGUGUAGACCCUAAUGAACCUAAAAUGACAAGCUUAAUUGGACCCUAAGUAAUUCAUUUACCAGCCAAAAGACCUAUUUAAAAUGACAUUAAACAAGCUCAAAACUUGUUAAAUCAACCAUCCUAAGUGCCUAACCAAUGUACCCUCAUUGGUACCACAAGUAUAUACAAUUUCACAACAAAAUGAACUCUCACCCAAGGUAUGUUAAUUCACACAAUUUAACAUUCAACCAAUAUGCCUAUCAUAGGCACCUCAAUCACAACAUUCCAAUAACACUUACCAUAAACUUGCACUUAAACAUCUUCCUUAGUUCACAUAUAUCAUAUUAAGUUAACUACUUGCAUUUAAGUAUCUACAAGAAUAGAAAAACAAUAUCAAAAUAAUAAAAAUGAAAAAAAAGCCUAUUACAUGCCAUAUAAUAAAAAAUGAGUGUUCCAAAAACUAUUAAAAAUAUGUGGAUAGUGUGACUUGAGUGUCGAUCUGACCGUCCAACCUUCAAAGUAUCUACAAGAACAGAAAAUAACAGAAAUAAGCUUAUUGAAGCUCAGUAAUUUGAUGUAAAAAAUGAUAAAUCUAGCCGAAUUAAUAUAAUAAAUCAUUCAAUAAUAACUCAACCACAUGUGUUCUAUGCCAUCCAAAAUCUCAACCCCGUGAAUUGCAUAGUUCAAUUCAAAGCUCAAAUACAUGUUAUAACUAUCAAAAAAAAAGUUAUGAUACAGAGAUUUAUGAUCUGAUGAAUGACUUAUGGAUAUGAGUAAAUAGAUAUUCCAACUGAAACAUGCCAAUCGCUCGUAAGAGCUAAUCCACCCGAGAACACGUCAGAUGCUCAUAAGAGCUAGUCCAACUAAAAACACGCCAAAACAGUAAGUAUAACACGAGAGUUAGCAACAAAUGCUGAACCUCGGCCUACUAAGAAAAAUAUAUAUAUCACUCCAUAACAAUCUCCAUUCCAGUCCUCCCAUAACACGCCAUAAUUCGAUUGUACUCUAUCCCGCGUUCAUCUGAUUCAAGUAUAGAAAUUCAUCAAUAUUUCUCAAACAACUUUACAUCAACGAUGAAACAAUUAUAAAUAUUAUAUAAUACUAUAUCAUCACACAUAUCAUAUAGAUAUUAAAUUGUAAACCUUACGACUUACCUAGACUGAAUUGUAGUAGUUGUAGAAGUUCAAGGACUAAUCUGUGAUUUUUCUUUUUCCAUGCAUAUCAACAGGAUCUUGAUCUAAAAUGUAAAAUUCCUCAAUUAUUGGCUUACGUUUCACAUUACAAUUCACUUUACAUUUUAUACCCUUUUAUUUUUUAAAAUUAGACAAUUACCCUUAACUUUUACAUUUUUUUUCAAUUUAGUCCCUUAACCCAAAAAUGAUCAAAUUAACCAGUUUCUCAAGUCAAAAUUUUAGCCGAAUAUACUAUGCAUUUAAAUAGUUCCUAUUAAACAUCAAAUUCACUAUCAAACCCUAAAAUUUUGAAAUUUUCAAAAUUUAAUCCUUAAAUUAAAAUCUAACAAAAAUCACUUCACAAAACCACCAAAUACAACAAUCAAAGCUUCAUAUACGUAGUUAUCAUCAAAAACAUUCAAGCUUCAUCACUGGUCGCUUCUAAAUUUUUUAACAGAUUCAAAAACGAAAGUAUGGGUUAGCUGGACCUAGUUGCAACGAUAUCAAAAACAUAAAAAUUACAAGAAAUAGAUAUUGAUUUCACUUACAUGAAAAGGAACAAUCAAAACUGGAACCUUGCUCUCUAGCUAUGGUGUUCGGUCAAUUGGAAAAGAAGAAAUGAACAUAAAAAUGUUUUAAUCUUUCUUUAAUUUAUUUUAAUUUUCCAUUAAAUUACAAAAUUGCCAUUGUAAUUAUAUUAUUUUAUCAUUUUCAACCAAAAUGUCGUCCCACCAUGUUAAAUAAGGAAUAAUUGCUACUUAAGUCCUUCUUCAUCUAUUAAUUAAGCUAUUUGAUCACCUAGAUGCAAUAAUUACUAAGUUUUUCACCUUUUACAAUUUAGUCCUUUUUCUAUAAUUCACUAUCUAAACGUUAAAAUUUCUUAACCAAAUUUUAAUAUGACUCUAAUGACUCCAUAAAUAUUAUAUAAAUAAUAUUUACGAGUCGACAUGAUGGAAUUUGUGAGCCCAAAACUACUAUUCCGACACAACUGAAAAUCGGGUUGUUACAACUCUCCCUCUUAGAAAUUUCGUCCUCAAAAUUGUUACCUAAGAAUAGAUUCAAAUAUUGUAGUUUCAUUGAUUCAUUGGUUCCCCAGGUAGCUUCUUUUGUACCAUGACGAUGCCACAAGAAUUUUACUAAUGGCACCUGUUUAUUCCGUAGUUUUUUAACAUCUCGAGCCAAAAUUUUCACUAGUUCCUCAGAAUACCCCAAAUCUGGCUAUAAUUCAAUCUCACUAUAAGGAAUCACAUGUGAAGGAUCAGAUCUGUAUUGUCUCAACAUUGAAACAUGGAACACAUUAUGAAUUUUCUCGAGUUCAAGGGGCAAAGCUAAUCUCUAGGCUACAGGGCUGACUCUUUCAAUAAUCUCGUACGGUCUGAUAACUCUCGGACUCAGAUUUCCUUUCCUGCCAAAACGUAGCACUUUCUUCCAUGGAAAAAAAUUUAGAAAUACUCGAUCGCCAAUAGUAAAUUCUAUAUCUUUUCUUUUCAAGUCCGUGUACGAUUUCUGACGAUCAGACGCAGCUUUCAAACAAUCUCGAAUAGUUCGAACCUUGUUUUCAGUUUCUCAAAUCAAAUCAAUUCCCACCAUUUUAGACUCGCUCAAUUCAAACUAAUGUAACGAAAUUUUACAUUUUCUUUCGUAUAGAGCUUCAAAUGGUGCCAUUGUUAAACUGGAUUGAUAACUGUUAUUAUAAGUGAAUUUAGCUAAUGGUAGAUAAUUUUCCCAACUACCUUGAAACUAUAGUAUACAACACCAUAGCAUAUCUUCCAGAAUUUGUAUCACUCGUUCUGAUUGCCCGUCCUUCUGAGGAUGAAACACUGUACUAAAAUUUAGUUUAGUGCCUAAAGCCUCAUGAAGUUUACUCCAAAAUCUCGAUGUAAACCUUGCAUCAUGAUCAGAAGUAAUAGAUUCAGAACUCUGUGCAAUCUCACAAUCUUUGACACAUAUAAUUCCACUAACCUCUCAAGUGAAAAAUCUGUUCUAACUGGAAUAAAAUGUGUUGACUUAGUCAAUCUGUCAACAAUCACCCAGAUUGAAUCUUUCUUUUUCGGAGUUACAGGUAAACCAGAUACGAAAUCCAUCAUGACUUGCUCCCAUUUCCACUCAGGAAUCAUAAUAGGUUGUAGUAAACCCAAUGGCACCUGGUGCUCUGCAUUUACUUACUGACAAAUCAAACAUUUAGCUACGAAUUCACAAACCUCAUGUUUCAUACCCGACCACCAAUACAUCUGUUUCAAAUCAUAAUACAUCUUCAUGCUACCAGGAUGAAUGGAAUACGUACUACUGUGAGCUUAAGACAUAAUAUCACGUUUUAAAUCUAAAUAAUUCGGAAUACAAAUCCUAUCACGGUAACGCAUUGUACCAUAAUCAUCAAUAUUGUAUUUAGUAAUCAAAUUAUCCUAAACCAAUUUUUGUUUCAUUAUCAACAUCGAAUCAUCAUUUUGUAACUCCCGAAUUCGCUGUAGAAACAAGGGUUUAGUUCUCAACUCAGCCAGUACAGAACCAUCUUCAUUCAAAGCUAAAUGAGCAUUCAAUUUUUGAAGUGUAAACAAUGACAACUUUCAACUGAGUGCAUCUGCAACAACAUUACCCUUUCACAGAUGAUAAUCAAUAACUAGAUUAUAAUCUUUAGUAGCUCUAACCAUCGUCACUGCCUCAAAUUCAAUUCCUUUUGGGUCAUCAAAUACUUUAAACUUUUGUGAUCCGUAUACACGUGACAUUUCUCACCGUAUAAAUAAUUUCUUUCAUGUGGCUUUAAUUGUCGAGAAGCAUAAGCUACUAUUUUCGCCGCUUGCAUCAACACACAACCCAAACCAUUAAGAGAUGCAUCGUUGUAAACCACAUAUGUUAUCGCAGACUUAGGCUGAAUCAAUACUGGAGCUUCUAUCAACAUUUUUUUUCAACUAAUCAAAACUCUGUUGGCACUUAUCAGACCAAACAAAAUCAACAUUUUUCUGUAGUAAGCUGGUUAUCAGAGAUGCAAUGAUCGAGAAAAUUUUAACAAAAUGACAAUAAUAACCUGCUAAACCCAGAAAACUUCUCACUUUAGAAACAUUUUCAGAAUUUUCCAAUUCAUUACAGCAGAAAAUUUACUCGGAUUGACUCGAAUCCUGUCAGCUAACACUAUGUGACCUAAAAAUCCAACCUCGCAAAGCCAGAAUUCACAUUUACUGAACUUUGCAUACAACAAUUUUUCUCCCAAAAUUUGUAACACGAUUCUCAGGUGUUGAGCAUGUUCAUAUUCUGAUUUAGAAUAGAUCAAUAUAUCAUCAAUAAACACAACCACGAAUCUAUCCAAAUGAGGCUGAAAAACCCAAUUCAUUAAAUCCAUAAAAGUAGUAGGAGCAUUUUUUAAUCCAAAUGACAUUACGAGAAAUCCAUAGUGGCUGUAACGAGUUCUAAAAGCAGUCUUUGACACGUCACAAUCCUUAACUUGUAACUGAUAAUACCUAGAUCUGAGGUCUAUCUUCGAGAACAUUGUGGCACCUUUUAAUUGAUCAAACAAAUCGUCAAUAUGUGGCAAGGGGUACUUAUUCUUUAUUGUGACUUUGUUCCAUUGUUUGUAGUCUAUACACAAUCUUAAAGAGUCGUCUUUCUUUUUCACAAACAACACAGGUGCACUCUAGGGUGAUACGUUCGGUCGAAUAAACCCUCUUUCUAACAAUUCUUGCAACUGUGUUUUCAACUCUUUUAACUUAGUUGAUGCCAUACGAUACGGUGAUAUUAAUAUCGGUGCAAUUCUAAAAACCAAAUCAAUCACAAACUCAACUUUCCAAUCAGGAGGAAAACCCGGUAACUGUUCAGGAAAUACAUCAGUAAACUCACUAACAAUCGAUAACUGAUCUAACUUCAACUCUGAAUCUCUGAUAUCAAGGAUGUAUGCUAGAAAUGCUUCACUACCUUUACGUAUCAAUAUCUAUGCAGAAAUAGGUGAAAUGAUUCUAACAACACUAUUCGACCUAUCAGAUUCAACUAAAACCAUCUCUUAUGUCUGGCAUUUCAAAUAAAUCUAUUUUUAUCCACAAUUUACCACAACAUCAUGUAAUGAUAGCCAAUCCAUACUCAAAAUAACAUCAAAUUCCAGAAAGGGUAGUAACAUCAAAUCAGUAGGGAAUUCACAGCCUCUAAUUUUUAGUGGACAUUUACGAAAAACUAAGUUAACUAUCAUAUUCUGACCUAGUAGAUUAGUAACUUGAAUAUCAUAUCCAGUUGAUUCAAUAGGUAGUUUCAUUUUCGUUGCUAAUGCAGUGCAAAUAUAAGAGUGAGUUGACCCAGGGUCAAUCAGUGCAUACACAGUAAUAUCAAAGAGAUAGAACGUACCAGCAAUCACAUCAGGUGCAGCAGCUUUUUCUCUGGCUCAGAUGGCACAUGUUAGAGUUGUUGGAACGCUGGCACCCCUACGGCGCAGCGGAAAAAUAUAACCCCCGAAGAUCCUAACCAUGAAUCCAUGUGUGAAGAACGAAUCGGAGUGAAAAAGGGUUUCAAAAUUACUGAAUGGUGAUUCUAAGCAGACAGCGACGCCUCGGCAAUGAGUAAUCUGAUCUACUAUCGAACCAGCCCGCAAUCUUUGAUGACUCCGACCUCUAAGGAAUCCCCAAACAGUUUUGGAGAAGACUUUGCUUUGACGGCUGCUAGACUCACCAAGCAAAGAAAAAUGAGAUUUUAUAUCUUGUUAUUUUUUUAGGGUUUUUCAAAAUUAAAUAAAUAUAAUAAUGUUUAAAAAACUGAAAAUUAUAAUUACAUUAAUUAUAAUAAAGAUUUUGGUAAACUAUAUUUAUUUAUAUAUGAACCAAAAUCAUAUUCUCAUUAUGUGUACAACAACCUUGUACAUAUAAUGUGUUCGAUAUUUGAUUACCCAAUUUAAUUAAUUCUAUAAUUAAUUUAAUUCAUGCGACAACCAAACACAAUACCAAUUAUUUUUUAUUCUGUUCAUUUCAACUAUAGGGUGUGACCUUGUAGGUUCUUGUAAUGUUAGCAGUAAUGUUAGAACGAUUCCAAUGUUACAAACAAUGAGUGGCACCUAGCAAUGCAUCAUUGCUACCUAAGUCACAAGAAAUCAUGAUUCGACAUAACCUUUUUAUGAUUAAUCAUUUCAUGCACUAAUCCUUAAGUCCUUUAUCUCUGGAUUGAACAAAAGUCAUGGAAUAGUCACACUUGUAUAGUCCAUUCCAUGGUCCUUGAUAUCUUAAGUAGACUAUGAUAUACAAAUAAGUAAGACAUCUCAUAUCAGCUUAUUUGAGCAUGGCCAUGCAUUUCUAGUCAUACUCAAUCAAGUGGCCUAAAAUAUUACUCCCAUUAUGUAGGAGGGACUUAUCCUAUAUUGAUCAAUCAUAUCCCUCUACAUAGAUUGUGGUAUAUCCAACAUCAGCCUUUAUAGAACAACCAGUUACAGUGUACGUUUGACUGUAUCAAAAUAUAGAACUCACGAUGUUGGGAUUAUGAUGACCUCAAGUCUGAGGAUCAUAUACAUAUUAAUCACUAUGAGUAAUGUCGUGACAAUUACAUAAUAAUCCAAGAAACAUACUCAUAACGGGUCAGUCCAAUAUGUUGUUCUCUAACACAUAUAUUCAUGCAUCGAUUCUAACACUCCAUAUCAAUGACAACUCUUUAUCAUCAAUCAACUACAUGUUAGUCUUAAUGCAUUAUCGUUGUCCUAUCCAACAAUAAUACUUGACUAAGGACCUUUUAAGAAAAAUCAUAUUAUUCUCAGGACAUUAUUAUAAAAUAGUUUACUUAUACACACAGAAAAGAAACUGAAAUAAUAAUGGUAACGCCUUAUAUUAAUAAACAUGAUAAAUCAAGUAUGUUAUUACAACCAUCUCAUGAUUGAUCUUUGGGCAUACUCUAACAAGAGUAGGUGCUCUAGUCUCUGAUCGAACAACCAUAUCUUUUACUCCCGCACGAGGAGUCCCAGUAGUGUUGUUCUAGCCCGAACGUCUACUUUUAUGAGAUGUAGACAUUUACUUUUCAUUCUGUUCAUCAUUUUUCUUUUAACUAUUUAGGAAAAUUUCAGAGAAAGUGACCAGUUGAUCCGCAUCUAUAACAUGCCCCCAACUUAGCUCUACAUUUACCAAAAUGAUGUGUUCCAUAAUGUUUACAACUAAGCUUUGGAGUGUUCCGUGCACUUCCCACACUAUCAAUUGGUUUUGUAGGAGUCUUAAAAUCAUGCUGAAUCAAUUUAUUUUUGUUCGGAUGCUUAGACACUAAAGUAGCUCAACUAAAGUCUUCUCUAUUCUUCUUUGUUAGUGGUAUAGAAAAUGACUUAAAAGAACUUCUCUUUUUAAACUCUCGAAUCCGUCUAUUCCUUUGUAUCUUACGGUUGUACACUUCUUUCAUUUUUUGUGCAUGAUCAGAUAAAAUAACAAAUUCUUCGAUUGCAUUACCUCCGAUGAUCAUUCUAAUUUCAUCAUUCAGGACAUCUUUAAAUAAGAUACACAUCUCUUCUUCAGUAGGUAAAAUUUCUCGGGCAUAUUUACUGAGAUACACAAACUCUCUCUCGUACUCAGCAACUGACUUGUUUCCUUGUUGUAACUCAAGAAAUUCCCUCUUUUUCUUGUCUAGAUACCAUCUUCCAACAUACUUCUUUUUGAACUCGGUCUAAAAGAAAUCCCAGGUAAUUUUCUCCCUCGGUACCACAGCUACCAACAUAGUCCACAACCUGUACACUCAUUCUUUUAACAAUGAAACGACACAUCUAAGAAAAACAUUAGGAAGGAAAGCCAUUUCUUCACAAACUCAUAAGAUGUUCUAAAGCCAAUACUCGGCUUUAACCGGAUCAUAUUCUGAUCUACCACUAAAUUCUUCAGCACCACAUUUUCUAUGCUUUUCAAUCGGUAUACGUCGACUAGAUUCAGUCAUAAAAGGAGGUGGAGGUGUAACGGGAGGUGUAACAGGGGAAGGAGGCCGUUGACCCACAGUAUUCAUUUGCAUAAACUCAUUAAACCACUAGUUCAUAAACCCAAAAAACAAGAUUUUAAGUUCAUGUUCAGGUACAUGUAGAAUCAAAAUAUUACAACUCGUCCCUUGUUCUGAGGUCGGUAUAUUACUAUUAACCUCAUCAUUCUCAGCACGACCAAAUCCGUCUGACAUCUUUAUAAUCUAUAAGAAAAAAAAAGGUUAGAUCAGAUCAAACGCAUCACACUAUCACAGAUUUAUAUGGCAUGUAAUUUUAGACAUCUUACACACUACGCUUAGUCAGAGAACCGACUAAAUUGUAGCUCUGAUACCACUAAAUUUAACACCUCUAACCCGUCUCUGUCGCUAGAUUAGGUUUAUGGAGUAUUACUAUACAAUCAAAAAAAAUUUCACAUUAUACUGUUCAAUAUUAUAAUCACAUCAUAAACCAUUCAUACACAUGCAUAUUAUCCCUAAAUUGAGUCCUCGAGGCUCUAAAGAUAACCUAGAAACAAAUUGGGACCAACUUGAAACAAUUUGGAAUGUUUAGGAAAAAGAUGCAAAAUUUGAAAAAAUAAGGGUCAUACGGCCGUGUGCCUCACAUAGUUAAGACACACAUCCAUGUCUCUGGUCGUGUAACUAUCAAACUAGGGACACACGGUUGUGUCCCACUCCGUGUCCUCACCUGUGUAACUAUCUGAGUUACCUCACAUGCCUGUGUGCCAGGCCAUGUGUUGGGCUAUGUAACUCACUGACUUGCACCCUAAAGAAAUCAUCAGGUGACACAUAGUUAUAUCACCAAGUCGUGUGCCUUACACGCUCGUAUCUCAGGCCGUGUGGACCCAAAUGAACAUUAAAUGACAAGUUUACCAUUUCAAGCUUACUUGAACCCUAAGUAAUCCAUUUACCAGCCAAAAGACCUAUUUAAAAUGAUAUUAAACAAGCUCAAAACAUGUUAAAGCAACCAUCCUAAGUGCCUAACCAAUGUACCCUCAUUGGUACCACAAUUGUAUACAAUUUCACAACAAAAGGAACUAUCACCCAAGGCAUGUUAAUUCACACAAUUCAACAUUCAACCAAUAUGCCUAUCAUAGGCACCUCAAUCACAACAUUCCAGUAACACUUACCAUAAACUUGCAUUUAAACAUCUUCCUUAGUUCACAUAUAUCAUAUUAAGUUAACCACUUGCAUUUAGAAUCAUACUUUAAUAUUUUACAUAUCAAAACAAUAGCAAUGACAAACAAGCCUAUUACAUGUCAUAUAAUAAAAAAUGAACAUUCCAAAAACUACCGAAAAUAGGUGGAUAGUGUGAUGUGAGUGAGGAUCCGACCGUCCAACCUUCAAAGUAUCUACAAGAAUAGAAAAUAACAUAAAUAAGCUCUUUAAAGCUUCGUAAGUUGAGGUAAAAAAUGAUAAAUAUAACCGAAGUAAUACAAUAAAUCAUUCAAUAAUAACUCAACUACAUGUGUUCCCUGUCAUCCAAAAUCUCAACCCAGUGAAUUGUACAGUUUAAUUCAAAGCUCAAAUACAUGUUAUAACUAUCAAAAUCACUAAACAAGUUACAAUACAGAGAUUUACAAUCUGAUGAACAAAAAACAAAUAUAAGUACAUAGAUAUUCCAACUGAAACACGUCAAUCGCUCGUAAGAGCUAAUCCACCUGAUAACAUGCCAGAUGCUCAUAAGAGCUAAUCCACUCGAUAACACGCCAGAUGCUCAUUAGAGCUAGUCCAACUGAAAACACGCCAAAACAUGUAGUAUAACACGAGAGUUCACAACAAAUGUUGAACCUCGAGCUACUUGGGAAAAUAUAUAUAUCACUACACAACAAUCUCCAUUCCAAUCCCCCCAUAACAUGCCAUAAUUCGAUUGUACUCUAUCCCACGUUCAUCCGAUUAAAGUAUUGCAUCAAUCUUUCUCAAAUAACUUUACAUCAAUGAUAAAACAAUUAUAAAUAUUAUAUCAUAUUAUAUCAUCAUGCAUUUCAUAUAUAUAUAUUAAAUUGUAAACUGUACGACUUACUUGCAUUGACUUGUAGUAGUUGCAGAAGUUCAAGGACUAAUCUGCGAUUUUUUUUUCCAAGUAUCUCAACAGGAUCUUGAUCUAAAAUGUGAAAUUCCUCAAAUAUUAGCUUAUAUUUCACAUUCCAAUUCACUUUACAUUUUAUACCCUUUAUUUUUCAAAAUUACAUAAUUACCCUUAACUUUUAAAAUUUUUACAAUUUAGUCCCUUAACCCCAAAAUCAUUAAUUUAACCAUUUUUCUCAAGUCAAAAUUUUAGCCAAAUAUACUAGGCCCUUAAAUAGUCCCUAUUAAACAUCCAAUUUACUAUCAAACCCUCAAAUUUUAACAUUUUCAUAAUUAAUCCUUAAAUCAAAAUCUAACAAAAAUCACUACACAAAACCACCAAAUACUACAAUCAAAUAUUCAAAUACAUAGUUAUCAUCAAAAAAAUUCAAGAUUCAUCAAUGGCCACUUCUAAAAUUUUUAACAGAUUCAAAAAUAAAUGUACAGGCUAGUUGGACCUAGUUGCAACAAUCUUAAAAACAUAAAAAUUACAAGAAAUAGACAUCGACUUCACUUACAUGCAAAGGAACAAUCAAAACAAAAACCUUGCUCCCUAGCUAUGGUGUUCGGUCAAUUAGAGAAGAAGAAAUGAAUAUAAAAAUGUUUUAAUCUUUCUUUAAUUUGUUUUAAUUUUCUAUUAAAUUACAAAAUUACCAUUGUAAUUAUAUUAUUUUAUCCUUUUCAACCAAAAUGUCGUGCCACCAUGUUAACUAAGACAUAAUUUCUACUUAACUCCUUCCUCAUCUAUUAAUUAAGCUAUUUGAUCACCUAAAUGCAAUAAUUACUAAGUUUUGCAUCUUUUACAACUUAGAACUUUUUCUUUCAUUAACUAUCUAAACAUUAAAAUUUCUUAACCAAAUUUUAAUAAGACUCUAAUUACUUUAUAAAUAUUCUAUAAAUAAUAUUUACGAGUUGACACGACAGAAAUUUGCGGUCCCAAAUCCACUAUUUUGUCACAACUAAAAUUAGGCUUUUACAUUAGGGAUUUCUAUGAAAUUAAGAUAUUAAGUGAAGAAAUUGUAUAAUUUAGAUUGAUUAUGACAGAUGAAAUCUAAGUCAAUUCUUUCUUGGGUAUUUCUCGCUUCUUGGCUGUUAAUCGUUUAUUGUCCAGAUUUGUUCUUUAUCGUGUUCUUUAAUUAAUUAAUUUAGUUAAUUUUACUCUUAAUCAACCAGUCCAUUUUAUCAGUUAAAUAAUAGAAUGGCAUAAUUGCUAGUACUUUUAGUCCUCGUGGGAACGAUAUUUUUACUCACCGUAGCUAUACUAUUAAUUGAUAGAUGCACUUACCUUUGUUAGUUUUUUAGUUGGUUUACGACUACAUCAAGUUUUGGCGCUGUUUCCAAGGACUAAAAUAUUAGGAAAACUUUAUUUCUAUUAAUUUAGCCAUUUUUUAUUUUAAUAUUUUUGUUUUUAAUUUAAUUUUUACAUUCUAAUUUUUUGUUUGUUUGCUUUUGGCAGGUUCUUUUGGUUUAUAACUAGGGGGAACCCAUUUGAUCUAUUACUUUUUGAUAGUGAGAUUGAAAAGACUACUCGCAGAAAUCAUAGAGCGGUAAAAGAAGCAAGGCAAAAUAAACAAAAUAAGUAGGCAACCAAGAGGAAAAGAAUAUUACUGUGAAGAUGAGUAAUAAUCAAAAUUAUAAGCUACCUCCUGUGGCUCCUGCUCCUCAUACUAUGUAUGAUUAUGCUAAGCCCACUCUGAUUGGGGUUGAAUCGAGAAUUGUGAGACCCACCAUUGCAACAAACAACUUUGAGCUGAAGCCAAACACAAUUCAAAUGGUACAACAGUAUGUUCAGUGUGAUGGUUUGCAAGAUGAAGAUUCGAAUACUUAUUUGGCUAACAUUCUAGAGACUUGCGACACUUUCAAGAUUAAUGGCGCUACUGAAGACAUCAUACAAUUAUGAUUUUUCCCAUUCUCUUUUAGGAGCAAGGAAAAAUAGUGGUUAAAUUCAUUGCCACAAGGUUCUAUCACGACUUGGGAUCAGAUGACUGAGAAGUUUCUGUUGAAGUACCUCCUACUGGCUGAAAGUGCUCAGUUGAGGAACAUCUCUUCUUUUUCUGAAAUUGAUUUGGAGACAUUAUAUGAUGUACGAGAGAGAUUCAAAGAUCUGUUGAGAAGGUGUCCUAAUCAUGGGUUACAUUUGUGGUUGUAAGUUCAAACCUUCUACAAUGGUUUGAAUACCUCGACUAGACAGAUAAUUGAUGCAGUAGUUGGCAGAACAUAGAAUAACAAAACACUUGAGGCAGCUCAAGAGUUUAUUCAGGAGAUAGCAUUGAAUAACUAUUAGUGGCAAGUCAUGAGAACGAAACCAAUUAAAGCAACCAGUGUUUUUAAUAUUUAUGCAAUUUCUAUGUUAGCAAUUCAAGUUGAAACUCUUGGUAAGAAAAUUGAUCGUUUGAAUUUUUCUAGACAAGUGAAUCUGAUGAUGUAGUGUGAUACAAAUGGAGUGGGGAUGAUUAAUUCAGAAUAUCCACCCUUCAAGUCUAACAUGGAGCAUGAGCAAGUCAACUUUAUAGGUAAUCAUUCAAGAUCUCAAAAUAACCCCUAGAGCAAUAGUUAUAAUAGAGGUUGAAGGAACCAUCCAAAUUUCUCUUAGGGUGAUCAAGAUAAUUAAAUGUCACAACCCCCUUCGGGACAGCCUUAUCGCAAGAGAAGAAAUCGAACCUUGAAGAGAUGUUGGCUAAAUUGAUUUCGGUGUCACAAACUCGAUUUCAAAACACUGAGAUAGCUUUGAAAAAUCAGCAAGCAUCAAUUCAAGGACUUGAAAAUCAAACUGGACACUUUGCCAAACUUGUUUCCGAAAGACCACAAGAUAGCUUACCUAUCAACAUUGAAACUAACCUAAAAGAAAAAAUCUACGCAAUCACUAUCCGAAGCGUAGAAGGGUUGAGGAAGGUGUUAACAAAUUUGUACAUUAACUUACCAUUUGUUGAAGCCUUUUCGCAGAUGCCAAAGUAAGUAAAACUUUUAAAGGAGCUGUUACCAAAUAAAAGGAAGUUAGAUGACUUGUCGACUGUGGAGCUCAAUGCAGUUUGCUCGGCCAUUCUCCAAAACAAACUACCCAACAAACAUAAAGAUCCAAGGAGUUUUACUAUUCUUUGUCUCAUUGGUAGUUUAAAUGUUGAAAAAACUUUGGUUGAUUUGGGGGCUAGUAUAAAUGUCAUGCCUUAUAAGAUGUUCAAACAACUUGGUCUUGGGGAACCCAAACCCACUAGGAUGAGAAUUCAAUUAGCGGAUAGAUCAAUUAGAUAUCCUAGAGGUAUUAUUGAGGAUGUACUUGUGAAAGUCGAUAAAUUUAUAUUCCCUAUUGAUUUUGUUGUAUUGGACAUGGAUGAAAAUAUUAAGUACCUAUGAUCUUAGGUCGACCCUUUUUAGCCACUACUAGAACUGUUAUUGAUGUGGGUACUGGUGAACUUGUGCUUCGUGUAGGUAAUGAAAAGAUUACACUUCAAGCACGUGAUUUGGUGAGAGUCCCUAGUGAGCGAGAUGAUACUAAUUCUUCUGUUAAUGUUGGUAAUCAUGUGACUCAACGUUCUUUGCAGGAAAUCCCUCAUGAAAAUGUGUUGGAGCCAUAUUUUAUUCAAAGUGAUAUAACUCGAGUGAUGAGUGAAGAGUGAAUGGUGCAGCUCGAUGAACUAGAUGAAUGGCGAACAAAUUUGAGGAGAAACCAAGAAAGCAAAAGGAAGUAACAAAGCAACGCCAUGAUGUGUAUGUAAAGAGAAUGAACCAAUUCAAAGUUGGGGACAAAGUGCUGUUAGACAAAUCGGAUCCACGAAUUUUUCCUUCAAAGUUCAAGUCAAAAGGGUCUGACCCAUGUGUGGUAAAAUUGUAUUUCCAUACGAAACCAAUGAGGUAACACACCUUGAUUACCGCACAUUCAUGGUAAACAGACAUCAUCUCAAACUUUCUUUUGGUGGUAAUACUGAUAAUGAGAGAAAGGAGCUCUAACUCCAAGAUUCGACUUAACUGUGAGCUUAAAAAGGGAAGUCAAGCUUAGACUUUAAUUAAGCGCUUCUCGAGAAGCAACCCAAGUGUUUUUAUUUUUAUUUAUUUUUUUUACUUUCAUGUUAUUUUGAAAAAAAUUGAAAAAACUUUUGACUUUUAAAAAAAAAGAAAUGAAAAACAAAUUGAAAAAAAAAAACUUAUGAAGAAAAUUUCAAAAAAGAAAUUGAAAAAGAAUUUUUGAAAAAAAAAAGUGGUCCAUAUGGUCUAAGGUGAUCCACACAACCUGGAUACACGGGCGUGUCUUAGGCAAUGUGCAUACAGGAGCUAAUUUUUCCAAUUUUAAUUUGACCCACACAGGCUGGAGACAUGGUCGUGUGAGACAUACGGACGUGUGGUAGACUGUGUGGCUCACACGAGCUCGCACACAAGCGUGGGAGAAGUGAAGGAGCAUCGCACAUGGCCUAACACACGGCCGUGUGGUUUCUACACUUAUUUUUCUCUAUUAUUAAAUAACACACGGUCUAGGUGAUUUCACAUGGCCGUGUGGCACACACGACCUGACCAUACGGCCAUGUGGCUCACAUGGCCUAGCACAUGACCUUAUUUUUCUUAUUCUUUUGUUUUCAUCCUACCCCAACCAAAACGAUUUCAUUUAGUUUUAUAUUUUAUUUGUUUUUGUUUUUGUUUUGUCUUUUUUCUUUUGUCUUUUGUCUUUACUUUUGUUUCUGUUUUUUUUUUGUUUUUUUUAUUUUAUUUUAUUAUGCAUUGUACUUUUAUUGUUUUAACGGUUGUUUUUCUACUUUGUUAUCUCUUUAUCUUCUUAUUCAUUUUUUUCUAUUUUCUUAUUAGUUUGCUUGGAAACAUGCACUUCAUUUAGAAUAGCCUACAAUUCUGGUUUUCAAUAUUUCGAUGAAUUCAUCCAAAUUCAGGGCAAUUUUAGCUCUCUUCCUCCUUAUGAUAUUGUACUUAUUAUGUGAUUUUAAUUGUUUGUACAUUGAGGGAAAUGUACAUUUUAAGUGUGGGAAGGGUUUUAUAUGUUUAUACGAUAUAGCCUCUAAAUUAUUGUUUGUGUUUAAGUAAUUUUAUCAAAUCUAACAUUGAAAUAAUUUCUUUUAAUUUGGAGUUUUUAUUGAUUUGGUUUUGGAAUAAUUUGUGGAUUUUUGUGUGUUGUGUGAUUUAUACUUUAAGCAUGAUAAGUUUUUUUUUCAAAUAUUAUAAUUUUAGAUUGUCUCCCUGAACUGAAAAAUUAUUUUAAAAUUUUAAAUUUGCAAGUUUGACAUCAGAACCAUAAUUUUUUGUGAGCUUUUGAGCCUAUAGAGCAUAUAUUUUAUUUCUUGCUCAUUUUAUCUUUGGUUUUGUGUAUGUCAACUUGAUUUGGAGUUCUAGAACUUGCUUUGAUUAUGCAUGUAGAGACCACAUUAUUGAUUUGAUAUACUGAGAUGAUAGAGGUACUUAGGAUUUAACCCACUUAACCUGUAAAAAGCUUACCUAUUGAAUUAACCCUUAGUAAACCCCGUUGAUCCUAACACAUUUUUUUCUAACCCGUUAAUGUUAACCCAUAACUCAUAUCUAUGUUGUAAAAUUAUCCUUUUUAUUAACUCCCUUUUUGUCGAGAUUUGAUUUGGUUAGUUUCCUAACUAUGUUUCAUUAUUUGAAUUGCUGAAUUUUGUUUUGUUUUAAAAAAAUCAAAAGGGAAAAAAAUCAAAAAGAAAAAAUAUAUUAAAAAAUUAUAUUUGAUUGAGCUUGAAUAAUUAGUUUCAUAUUAUGUGGAACAGCUUAGUUCCAUUUGUGAUAUUUCUUGUUGAUGUGAAUUCUUUUAAUUCAGCAACUGAUAUUUUUUUUCUAGUUUGGUAACUUAUCAACUCAACUCUUGAUUAUAACCCACUUUUCUAACAUUUUCCAUACCUUUAACCUAAGCCCAUUACAACCUUGUAAAGACCUAUUGAUUGGUGUGUCAUCUCAUUUAUAGUGGUGAAGAUUUGAUUUUCAAGUAAGCCAAUGGUAAUAACAUUUCUCGUUUGACUAUUGAGUGCACAUUAUUUGAACCUUAAACACUAUAAGUUUUGUGAGUGAAUCUUUAGUGAGAAUGUUUUUUUUUCUGUUAGAGUAUGCCCAAAGAUCAAUCAUGAGAUGAUUGUAAUAACAUACUUAUUUUACCUCGUUUAUUAAUAUAAGGCAUAGCCAUUAUUAUUUCAGUUUAUUUUAUAUGUAUAUAAAUAAAUUGUUUUAUAAUAAUGUCCUGAGAAUAAUAUGAUUAUUCUUAAAAGAUCCUUAGUUGAGUAUUAUUGUGGGCUUGGACAACAAUAAUGUAUUAAUACUAACAUGGAGUUUAUUGAUGGCAAAGUGUUGUCAUUGACAUGAGAUGUCAAAAUCAAUACAUGAAUAUGUGUGUUAGAGAACAACAUAUUAGACUAACCCGCUAUAAGUAUGUUUAUUGGAUUAUUAUGUAAUAGUCACAACAUGACUCACAGUGAUUACUAUGUGUACAAUCCUCAGACUUGAGAUCAUCAUUAUCCCAACAUCGUGAGUCGUAUAUUUUGAUAUUGUCAAACGUCUACCGUAACUGGUUGUUCUAUAAAAGCUGAUGUUGGAUAUACCACAAUCUAUGUAGUGGGAUAUGGUUGGUUAAUAUAGAAUUUGUCCCUACUACAUAAUGGGAACAAUAUCCUAACCCACUUGAUUGAGUGAGACUAGAAAUGCAUGGCCAUGCUCGAAUAAGUUGAUAUGAGAUGUCAUACAUAUUUUUUUUCAUAGUCUACACAAGAUACCAAGAAACAUUAGAUGGGCUAUGCAAGUGUGACUAUUCCAUGACUUGUGUCCAUUCUAGAUAUAAAUGACAAAAGGAUUUAAUACAUGAAGGGGUAAUCACAGAGAGGUUAUGUCGAAUCAUGACUUCUUGUAACUUAGGUAGCAAUGAUGCAUUGCUACAUGCCACUCAUUGUUUGUAAUAUUAGAAUCGUUCUAGUAUUACUGCUAACGUCACAAGAACCUAGAAGGUCACACCCUCUGGUUGAAACGAACGGAAUCCAAACAUAGUUGGUAUUGAGUUUAGUUGUCACAUGAAUUAAAUUAAUUAUAGAAUUAAUUCAAUUGGGAAGUUAAAUAUCGAAGGAAUUAUAUGUACAAGUAUGUUGUACAUAUAAUGAAAAAUAUGGUUAAAUUAAUAUAUGAAUUGAUUUGUAUAAAAUUUAACUAAAAAUAAUUUACCGAAAUCCUUGUUAUAAUUAUUGUAAUUAUAAUUUAGGAUCAAAUAUUAUUAUAAUUAUUGUAAUUAUAAUUUUUUGGUCAAACGGCUGUGUGAACCACACGAGCUACCACACAGCCAUGUGCCAGACCAUAUGGAAAUCACAAAUCACACUCCAAACCUACCGGAAAACGCAUUUUUUUUAUUUUUCUGGCAUUUUAAUACCUAUAUAUAUGAAAAAAAUAAGAAGAUAAGGGAGGGCCAUUACAGAAUACUAAAAAAAAACAACUCAGGAAACACCAUUGAAGCUGAAUUUGAAGCAAAUUUCCAUCAAGAUUGAAGAUAUCCUUUUGAUUUCUUUGAACUUUAUUAUGAGUUUCUUUGUUUCUUAUGGUUGUAUUGUCUUUACAAUGUUUUUAUUUGCUAUCAUGAACUAAUUUUCCAAAUACCUAGAGCGAUGAACCCUAGGAUGGAUUCUGUUAUUUAAUUUCUAUUUUUACGCAAUAAAUUCUUGGAUCUUAUUCUCAAUUAUGUGUGCUUAAUUCUUGGUUUAAGAAUUCUAGACUAUUAAUCCAUGUUUGAUAUGCUUGAAUCAAAGGAGGAAUAGACCCAGUUUAAGAGUAGAUCUAGCAUAAUGGAGUGGAGUUCCAUGCAAUCCUAGAAAUAGGACGAUAUAAAUCUAUCGAAUUAGAGUCAAAUUUAAUAGGGGAAUCCGUAUAUCGAGUUAAUGUGAUAAUAGGGGCUUUAAUUAGAAAAAAAUUUUCAAUUAAUCAACUUAGAGUCAGUUGCUCUUAGUCUUGAAGAGGGAUAUUAGCUUAAUUUAGGGAUUUCUACGGAUGAAGAUACUAAGUGAAGAUGUUGCGUAAUUUAGAUUGACAAUGACAGAUGAAAUCUAGGUGGAUUCUUUCCUAGGUGUUGUCUCACUUCUUUGUUGUUAAUCGUUUAUUUUCCUGAUUUGUUCUUUCUCGUGUUCUUUAGUUAAUUAAUUUAGUUAAUUUUAGUCUUAAUCAACCGUUCCAUUUUAUCAGUUAAAUAAUAGAAAGGUAGUAUUACUAGUACUUUUAGUCCUCGUGAGAACAAUAUUUUUGCUCACCGUAGCUAUACUAUUAACUGAUAGGUGCACUUGUAUUUGUUGUAUUUUUAGUUGGUUUACAACUGCAUCAAUUAUCUACUGGUUGAUUUGGUUCUUGAUCUAUACGUUAAUACAUUUAAUUUAUCAAUAACUACUCUUCAAACUUUAACAGUUUUGAAAUUAGACACACAAGUUAACUAAAUCGAGAUACAACAAUCUCAAAAACAUAAAAUUCAUGAAAAAUAGGCUUUGAAAACACUUACAUACAAAACUGAUUGUUCAAAAAUACCAAGAGCUUUUCUUUAUUCUCUAAUGGAGAUGUUUUAAGUGGAGGAAGAUGAGAAUGAUGACUCUCUUUCCAUCCACUAAAGAUUCUACUUAAACACCCAACACUAAUCGUUCAUUACUAGGAAAAUGUGGUUAACUGCCACAUAACACCUCGAUCAAUUUUUAUGAAAUACAUUUAACUAGGUAGUCAAUAAUUCUUACGGUUUAGUCCAUACAUCAACAUUACAUCCAAUUCAACCAACUAUCAAAUCAAGGAUCAAUAUAACACUAAAAUAAGCUCGUAAGUAUUAAUGAAUAAUAUUUACUGACUUACUCGUCGGAAUCGUGGUCCCAGAAUCACUAUUUCUGACACUACUGAAAACCAGGAUGUUACAUAUACAACCCACAUCAAAAUACCAAAUCAUUCUUUAAACUUAGAAUUAUAUAACAUAUUACUCCUUUAGGUACAUGCCAUUAAAGUACAAGAAACAUCACCAGUUGUUGAGCCUGGCAUUAUUGUUCGAUGCUGAUACUGUGGGACGCUCACAAUCACCCUAACCUACGCACGAAGAACAAAAUUGUACGCUGGGUAUGAACUUAAUGGUAUUUCCAUCAUCUGAAUAAAAAUUCAUAAUAGAAAACAUACAAAAGCAUAAAGUAAAGUUCAUAAGAUUUACAUGCCAUUCAUGUGUCAAGCCAUGCCAUUUCAUCAUUUUACCACAAUUAUAACAUCUAAUGCAUUUUAUACCAUGGUUGAUAUCACACAAGCUAUUGUCAUAUUUCUAUUCCAAACUUUCUAUUCAAUGAACAUAGCCAACUAUUCUACCAAUUUAUUCUACAAUUCAAGAUCCAUUUUACAUUUUUAAUUCCCUAUUAACUUGACUCAGACUAGGACGGAUACACAGAUCCAACCAAUCACACCGGUUCGGCACCUAGUGCCUAUCGAAUAAUCUGAAAUAGUAAGUUAAACCCAGUGCUAGUUAGUAUAACCAAUCACUCCUCGACUCAUAGUCGUAAUAACCCUAAAAUAUUCCUAUCCUAUGACAUGCCAAUUAUAUCUAACUCUUCCCAAAUAGUUAACACAGUAACAAUUUCUCAGUUUCAUUAAUAAUUUUUUUUCAAAUCAAUACUAUUAUUUCAUCUAUAAAUCAUCAAUAUAUGUAUAUGACAACAUAAUCCAUGUCAAAAUGGACUCAAUUUAACAUUUAUGUCAAUGUGCGACAUUGCCGAAUAUAUUCAAUUUAGUCCUCUUUACAAACAACCAGAUCCGAAUCGGAUCAAUUCAACUCGUUUUAUCAUUUUCAACUCACCUUAUGAUCUUACCAUGCAAAACAGUACAUAAAUGCAGCAAAAGAAGUAGUUCGAAUUAUAAAAAUAUAAAUUGUAAACUCCGAGCUAUUUAUUGAUAGUUUUGUCUUUUCCUUUCCUUUUUUAGGAAUUCGGGUUGACAUUAGCUACAGAUUAACAUAAACACAAUGAUUCGUCAAUACAAAAUCAAAUUCACUCAAUUUCAAAUUUAAACAACAUUUACAAUUUAUUCAAUUUAGUCCCUAAAAUUGGGACUAACAUAACUUUCAAUAUAGAACUUAAAUUUUUAAUAGGAUUUCAUUGCAAUCCAUUUAGGACCUCCUAUUACUCAUUUCCACCUCUAAUUUCGUAAUUUAUGCAUUUUAGUACCCAUUGUGUGAAACUAUCAAACAACUAUAUAAAUUAGUCCUUUUUCACUCCUAAUCUUAAAAUCUAUCGAUUUAGUUCCUAAAACUUCAAGAUAUCAUCAAUUACAUAUUUCCAAAACUUUAACAGUUUUGAAAAAUAUCACACAAGUUAGCUAGAUUAAGCUCUCAGGAUUUCAAAGACAUAAAAAUUAUAAGAAAAUGAUUAAAUGGCACUAACCAAUUUGAAGCUUGAAAUCUUAGAACCCUAAACCAAUUUUCAUUCUUAUUCUUCUUCAAUAUUUGGCAUGGAUGAAUAGAAACGAGAUCAGCUCUCUCUUUUUGUGACACCCUACACCCGACCUGGUCACCGAGUCUGAGUACCGAAUGUCACAGUUAAACCUGUACCACCCCAAACCUGGCCUAAGAGUUAUGGCCGAAUCUGGCUGUCACAUUGAAGUGUCUUUCGAAAAACAGACUCGUUGGUAAAAAUUUGUUUCUGAGUUUAAAAUAAACCCUUUUAUUAUUAAUUAACAAUCAACUAGUCAAAAUGUUUGUCUUGUUAUCUGAUAUUGUCUUAAUAGGUUGAUCUAAAAUCACGGAAGCUUUUGAAUACUCUAAAGUUUAAAUUUCGUGUCUUGGAAAAUACUAGUUAUUUUGAAAAUACGUUUUCUCCUAAAUUAGUUGUUUAAAAUAAGUAAGCCAAAGCCCAAUUUAAAAAAAAUUAAACAAAUAUAAAAGGCCUUAUUACAUAAACCAAACCCAACAUAAAAUUUAAGUUUAAUUAAAAGCAGUGUAAAACAGCUGCAGUUGUGUGGCCACCUCUGAGUCCCUCGUAACACCAAAUCGCCUAUGGUUGAGGAUUACCUGUACAGUAAAAAGGAAAUGGUGAGUUUACGAAAACUCAGUGUGUAAUCCCCUAACAAGUAAACAGUCAAUUAAACAGUAGAUAAAUGCAGUUUGGGCCUGAGCCCGUUACAAUAACAAUCCAGUUCAGUGUGGGCCUAAGCCCUUUCCCGUAACAGUAAAUGAUUGGGCUCGAGCCCAUCACAAUGCCAGUAAUCAGUAGGGCCUUUGCCCAAUUUCAGUAAUAUUAUCAGUGGGGCCUAGGCCCAUAACAGUAACAGAUAUCAGUCAUGCAGUGAACAGUAUGUAAUAUCAUUAAUCGAUGCAGUAAUAGUACAAAAUCAUUAAUCAGUGCAGAUAUGCAGUUAGAAAUCCUACCCAAUCUAGCCUCAACACACCAUUCUAUCCCACCAAACACACCAUGUAGGGAUAAAAUCGACCCACCCAGCUAGACACACCAAGAUUAGCACCGGUUGCGGCACUAAACAGUACUGCAGCAAAGCUGCCAGUAUAUUAAGCGACAUAUAACCAUCAGUAGGUCCACAGUCGUCUUGGGCGACCCGUGCAACCUUAUCAGUACGGUACACUUCCUCCAAAUAUAACAACCCAUCCCCAUGCAAUAUAUCAUGACAUAAUAUCAUACGUGUAUGCAAAAUGUCAUGUUCUAUCAUAGUCAUACAUAUUAUAGAGCAAUUCAGUCAUACAUAACAUAAGGCCAUAACAAUCAUUUCAUCUCCUAGGGGUAUAACAGUCAUUUUACCCUAUAGGGGUAUUUCGAUCAUUCUACCCUAUGGGGGUAUUUUAGUCAUUUUAUCCUAUGAGGGUAUUUCAGUUAUUUUACCAUAUGGGGGUAUUUCAGUUAUUUUACCCUAUAGGGGUAUUUCGGUCAUUUUACUUUAUGGGGGUAUUUCAGUCAUUCUACCCUAUGAGGGUAUUUCGGUCAUAUAUCAACCUCUCGAAAGGUCCGCAGUCGCCUCGAGCCACUCAGGUUACCUAAAUGGUCAUAACAGAGUAAAUGGGCCCAAGGCCCAUUACUCGGCCUAAGUUGUCUCACACUCUUGUACGGCCCGUUCAGCCCAGAUUUCCCUACAGCUAUGCGAUCUACAUAACCCAGUCCAGUAUUUGCCACAAAAUCGUGGUUUUUAUCCGUGUAGGCCCACGAGCCUACACAACCCAUUUCGACCCAACGUGGCGCAUUACAGCCUAAGCCCAUGAAAAUGCUCAUUGAGGCCUUCACAGUUUAUCACCCAUGAUUCAUAGGUUCGGCUUUCCACACGAGAGAUCGCACGCUCGUGUGGCCUUAAACAUCGUAUUUCGGUUUUUCAGCUUUUUUCGUUCUACAGUCACAGUGGGGAGUUUACACACCUAAUGUGGAUUUGCAGAUUCCCUUUGAUCCGAACACACUCUUAUUCCGCAAAUCAAUGAUCAUCUCACCCUUGGUUCCCAGGCAAUGUGCCAAUCAACCUCGACCACCACCAUGUAGGAAUGGAAGCAAUGCAGGUUGGAGAAAGCAACGAAAACCUUGAAAACCUCGCCGAUCUCCCUAUGGAGAAUAAGGAACAAAUGAGAUGUGAUAUAUAUAUCUCUCCACAACAACAACCUCCCUAAAUCCCAAUAUUCUCUCCUCAAAUCUCUCCAAAUAUCCCUCCUCAAUUCUCUCUAUAACCAGUUCAAACUCCAUUUAGCAGUAUUUCAAUUCAACUCUACCACCCACACAAAUUAGGCAACAAAAUAAAUACUCCAUUGUACAACCCAAGACUUAAAGCUUAGACCUCAUAGUUACACAACACGCCACCUUUCCAUUAGACCACAAGCUCUUUUUCUGUCAUAAAACCAACACUAUUAUUUAUAAGGCCUAUAUGCCAGUGUCCAGAUUCAUUUAAGAGCAAAACUAAAAAUUUUGUCAAGGUCAAGACUUGAACCCAGGCUCCCUUGUAACCUUAAUAACGCCACAACCACUAGACCACAUGCUUCAUUAUGACAUUUUUUUACACAAUAAUUUAAAAGGCCUACAUCCAAGCAUCCAGGGUUUUAUCCACCUAAAACCAAAAUUUUUGCUAAGUCCCAGGUUUGAACCCAGGACUUUUCCAACUCCUCUCAGGACCCUUAACCACUAAAGCAGACAUACUUUUAUACACAGUUUCCUAACCAUUCCCUUGCUCAAGGCCCAAUACUUCUAGACCCAAAUUCUGGGGCAUUACAAAACCGUAUUACUUGACAAGUUUUCUAACCAGAUUUAUUUACCCACUUAGACAGUAACAAAAUUCAAUUUUUAACUUCUAUUAUAACUCAUAUCAUAUGAGUAUUACAUUAUUAUAAACUUCUACCUUAUUCAUCUCACAACUAUUUAAAAAAAUUUAAAAUUUAGACUUUAAUACAGAUAUAUCCACUUGAUCCCCGAGGUGUGGCCACUAAGGGUGCCCCUUUAUAUGCAUGGUACAGCUACCGCGCCCUUCGCACAAGGCUGGAGGUGUCUGGCUUGGUCCCUUCCCACAACGACUCCAAUAAUUUUAAUCCUGCAUCCAAGGCAACACUAUCGUAAUUUCAAUUGAACUUAGUGAGAUUCUGUACAUCAAUGAACAAAAGCACUAUGUUUCUAGAACAAAAUAGAAACACAUAAUUUAAAACCCCCUGAGCAUCUUAAGAAGUCUACUGAUUUGUUGGCAUAACCAAGCUUUGGAAUCUUUGAGCCAGUCAUUUGGCAGACUUAAUCCAUGGUUUAGGCAUAGAUUCACUUUUCCAAAUAUCUAUUUCUUCUAGGAUUUAACCAAGAAAAGCUUCCUUAUGGACAUCCAUAUUACCUUUCCUAGCUUGCCUCUCUAAAUAUAGUCACAAACACAAAUCAUUCACACUAUCGACUUCUACCAGUCGAUUUACGUUGUAACGGCUUCAGUGGAGGAUCCUUGCCUUGAUCUAUUCAUUUCACACUAAACUCAUUAUAUGAUUACCUUAUUACCUCGGAAACUAUCUUCCUUCGAAUUAGCCCUAGAAUAGACCCUUCCCUAAGGAAACCCAAUUUGAACAUCUUCACCUGUAGUCUCGUAUAUGACAUUUGGCUGCUUGCUGAACACCCUUUCCUUACAGACUCGUCCGCAGGAUAACCCCGUAGGAUAUUUCCUUUUCAGAACAUUUUUGCUAAGACUAUGUCUUUAUCAGGUUUCCCUUUGGCGAAUUUUCCACUACGGACAGUCCCACGCAGACUCCUCAUACCAAAUAGACCCGAUAGGUACAGUCUUCUUUAGAUAAAUCCUGGUGAUCUCUCCACCAAAGACAAUUAUUGGUGGACCUCCCACUCUUGAUAAAAUCCUUGGCGGACUUACCUGUCUCUGGCUACCUCUUACUAGAAGACCCUUAGGAUUUAAAAUCCACUUGUUCGGCUCACUAUCAUACCCGAUACUAGUUUACUCACCAAACAUUGGCAAACACAUAGUGGAGAAUACUUAGAUACCUCGAAGAAUAUAUCAUUUUCAUAACAUCAGCCACAUUAAAACUGCUUCCACCAAUUCCUCUUACCGUCAUAAUUUGGCAGAUCCCCUUAUCAACAAGCUUACCCGCAUUCUCAAACACUUCUACCUACCUUCAAAUUUUGGUGGAUCCUCUUGUUAUCCCAUUUGCCAGUCUUCUCAGUCACGCUAUGAUCAUUCAGUCUUACUACUUGUCGCGAGAGUUAUACGAUGACUACCCCUUUUUAUGCCCUGGUGGGCUUCCUGGUUCUUUGUACUUACGAACUUCAUAUGUGGCCAUAGCCCUGCUAUGGUCUUACACAUUAUGAUCUCAUGUUUACUAUCCUGGUGGACUUCAUAUGUUGCCAUAGCCCAACUAUGAUCUUACACACUAUGGUCCCAUCUUUACUGUCUUAGUAGACUUUAUAUGUUACCAUAGCCCAACUAUGGUCUCACACAUUAUGGUGCCAUGCACCUAUGACUCCGAAGAAUUAGUAAACCUUUUUUGAGGUGUCACCUCGAAGGACCAAUCGAUAACCACUAUCACGGUGUUGCUCCAUAGAGUUGAUAGAUCGUCAUCACGGUGUCGCUCUUGCAACCGGUAGAUAACCAUUCCACGAUGCCGCCCAACUCCCUCAGCUCCCCGAACUAUUCGUUCGUUUCUCUAUUACGCUAACUUUUCCUAUCUUCAUCUACCUCGUCAAGGCAUCUCCCUCAUUACUCUGUAUUAAAUAACAUAUAUGCAUUUCACGUAAUUAAUUGUAUUUAUUUCUAUAGCAUACAGUAUGUCGUCCAUUAAUACAUCAACUCACAACUAAUUAGCAUACAAUAUACAUACUUGCAAGGAUACUCAUUCUUACGCAUCAUUAUGCAUACACAACAUACUCGUUCACCAUGUUCAUACACAACCACAGAUUCAGACAUCACAGAACAGACAUAGACACAUAUCAUUCAAGCAGUUCAAUGUUAUCAAUCACCCAAAGAUGGAGCAUAGAAACUCACCUAAACUUUUUUAUCCUUGCCAGCUUAGCUUUUCCAAAUGCUAGAGCCUCCAUCAUCCUGGACACUAAGCACGACAACCGUAUAUCAGUUAAAUCAAAAGAAUUCUAACUUUAAACCUUGAAUCAAAUUUCUAUAUAGGAGCUUUUUAGGGAUUAUUACUUCUUUUUCCUCUAAUUAUGGACAUAGAGGGAAUUAGGAGCUUACCAACUUACUGGAUUUUAUUUUUCUUGACCUUAGACCUCACGAUCACCACCCCACGCAACGAUUUUCUUAACUCUCCCUUCUUCGAAGCAACCGAAGAAGAUGAUGCAAAUGAGAAGGAAAUAAAAUCAAAAUUGAGAAGAAUUCAUCUGUUGAGUAAGGCUUCUCCCCUAUAUAUAACCCUUUUCGCAUGGUCAUCAAAGCCCCAAUUAACCACUCACCAAUAAUUAUUGUGCCUCCCACUAAGGGACCAGCUAUUUCUCUUUUAACUGAACGAGAAUGGAAACUUAACUAUUUACCAAUCAAUCACAAAAUUCCUAAAAUUUCCAGUAAAUCUUGCCUUCUUAUCAUUCUAUUCAAAUAACUCCUAACUUUCCUUUAAUUUUGGGGCAUAAGUGAAAACCGAGUGUGACACUUUCCAUCCACUAAGUUUAUUUGUUAAGCUUUAAUUCAUUUUACCAUUAUUUAUUAAAUUACCCUUUUAGCCCUUCCAUAAAUCAUAUAGCUAGCCACUGUCCACUACCCUUAUUAAUGAUCAUGGUCUAAUUGCUAACUUGAUCCUUGUCCCUUACUUUUAAUUACCAGUUCUUUGGCAAUUUUAAAUUUAACCACUUUUACAAUUUAGCCCUUAUACUUAAAUUAUUCACUAAUUUAAUAAAAUUUCUUAUUCAAAAUUUAAUUCACUUCUAAAAUAACUUUGUAAAUAUUUAGUUUACGAAAAUGGAGUCCCAAAAUUAGAGUUUUCAGCACUAUUGACUUUCGGGUUGUUACACAUUAGACGCAUGUUAAAUCUUUCAUGAACUACCAGUUUAAUAAUAUAUUUAAAGAUUAUUGCAUCCACCACAAAAUAAGAUUAUAUAUUUUCAUAACCAAUGCCAGGACUUAGCGAAAAGCUUCACAUUUCUUAUUUCGUUUUUGUAAAACUACUUCAUUUGUACCCUUACUGGCUUUAUACCUUUAGCUAUAUAGACUAUGGGUCCAAAACCUCUACAAAUUUAAUUGUACUUGAGUUACGUCUUUCAAUUUUGGUCAAUCUAUUCCAUAUAUAUAUUUCUUGACAAAUUUAUUCAAAAUUAUCAUUUUCUUUUUUUACCUCAAUAAUACUAUUGCAUGCAAAAUCGUUGUAAAAAAAAUUUCUAUUUCAUGGUUCCAUAUUUUCUUGUAUUGACAUAACUUAUCAAGAUCUCUUUAUUUUCAUUUUUUAUCAUUUUUAAGUACGUGAAUCCCUUUGAGAGUUUUAAUAAUUAGUUAUGUCUUAGGCCUCUUCAAGAGCACCUACCUCCACUAUAUGAUCAUUUAGAUUUAUUCUUUUCUUUUACAAGAAUUAUCAUCUAUCAAACAACCAUGACUCAGGCAUGUAUUACCUUUAAUUAGUCUAAUAAGUUUUCCUACUGGAAUUUCAGUUCAAAUCAAAACAUUAGCUGGUAUGUAACACUUGGUUAUUCUCAUCAAGUCAAUAGGUGCAUUUGGCAGUUAAGUUGUACUAAAGUGAAUUAUCUUUUUGAAUUUCUAAUUCAAAUUACUUUCUACGAGGAUCUACAUAAUGAUAAUUCAUUCUAUUUAAUCAUUUCAUCUAGCUAUUACCAUUUUUCCCCCUGAUGUUGGGAAAACUUGUUAAAUUAAAGUCCUAAUCAUCAAAUCAUAUCAUAAUUGAAUCUCCAAUCCGAUCAAAACAUAUAAUAAUAAGAGAUUCAUAAUUAGUAUAUAUUCCAAACAUUAUUUGAAUAUCCAUUUUGUGCAUUGUGGUGGAGCAACUUAAACAUAUAUCACACAUUUAAAAAUUCUAAAAUGGAAUGUAUUUGAAAAUUAAAAAGCCAACUGUAAUGAAAAGGAUUUAUCAAAACGUAUUGGCAUGAUGCGUACAAGUGUAGAUUGAUAUAAAAUAUCAUAUCCUUAUAUACAAAAAAAAAAUUCUCAACAGUAAUGGUUUAGCUAUUAACUUAAGGCAUUUAAUCAUUAAUUUUGCUAAACCAUUUCAUUCGUAUAAACAAUAGGCUUUUGCAAGUUACUCGCACUAAUAAUCUAGCAUAUAAUAGUCAUUGAAAGUAUGAGUAAUAAAGUCACCAACAUUAGCCAGACUUGUACCAAUUGCAUAAUCUGAAAGUUUUGUUCAUAAACAAAUCAUUAAAUAAGUAAUAUCAUAAACUACAAGUUGCGAGUGAUAACUCACAUGUAAUUAACUUGCAGAUGCAUCUACCAAAAUUAUAUCAAAAUAUUCACUUCUUGGAUAAAUGAGCCCAUAUUUCUUUCAGAAAUGUAAAAGAUUCAAUAUCAACUUUUGCUAGUGAGGUUUAAUAAAAAAAAUUAGACCAAGCAACACUUGAUAAAUGAAGAAUCUCCAGGUUCUUUAAUAAAUAUUCAUGUAAAUUCUUAUCUUGUUGCAUCAUUAUUGGUCAAGAUGGUCUAACUAAUCAUGCCAACUAAUGAUUAUAUUUGGACUAGUAAACUUCUUGUUUACUAUGCACAUGAUUCAACAAUACUAAUGUAUACUUCUGAUUUACCAUCACAUGUGAUUUAACUAUGCAAACAAAUAUACUAGAAUUGUAUUGAAGAAAACACUAAAUUAAUAAGUCUAGAGUUGGUUAUAAAUGUCAUAUUUGAAACAUCCAAAUAUAGAACAUUAGUUUCAAUAAAAUAAAAUCAAAGCCAAAGCUACAUGCAUUUGUUGCAAAUAGAUUUUAUCAAUUUACAAAAUACACACAAACACAUAUUUAAUUUGUAUAGAUAUAUGUGCAAAAUUAAGCAAAGCAUAGAAGCAUACCAUAAAUGCACAAUAAUUAAAAGUUGGAAUAUAGGAUGAAACUAUUCAUUUGAAUUCCAACGCAAAUCUUAUUAUCAGUCUCAACAUUAUCUUCACUUUCCACUUUUGGUGGUAAGAAAAAUUACUAUGACUACCCAUAUGACGAUUAUUACAGUUCCACCUACCAUGUCCACGAUUAUAUCCUUUGAAUUUGUUAUAUAUUGCUACAUUCACUUUAGGGAAUGGAGUAGAUCUAGUAAGACAGACUUAAUGUUUUUUCUUUAUUUAAUAACUUGUUAUUUUAUUCAAUCACAAUUAAACAACAUUUUUUCACGGUAUUGCUACUGUAGGAGCACAUUUAUAGCACGAAAAGUUGAAAAAGGUUUCUAACAAGUUCUUAUAGUAAUACUCUCCCCAUAUAAUGUUAAUUUGAGAACUUAUCCUAAAUAUUUUAAUGUUAUAUCCAUGUCACACCCUGAAGAAUGGGUUAGAAGAAUCAGGUCUUUUAAUCAGAGGUUGUGUCAGAUAAUAGAAAAUAGGGUCGUAAGUGAGUAACGUGAGUAUGUGAGUUUCAUAAUCAGGUUCUUUCUUUAUUUGUUAGCUCAAAACAAAAUUCAAUUUUGAAGUCUAAUUUGAAAAAAAUGGAUUUCAAUUUAUUUAGAGCCUAAUUAGAAAAAAGAAAAAGCUAGGAGUGACUAAAAGGGCAAAUUGCCCAAUUUUUGUAAAUUGGCUUUCAAAUAGCAACCACUCACGUCUUCCCCUCAUCUUUUUCCAUCAUUCAAAACAACAAAUUAUCUUAAACCAAAAUCCCCUAUUUUCUCCCUAAUUGACUUAAUCUUCGCGAUUUUCUCAUCUCCCACUCUAAAAUCUCUCCCAAAUUUUUAAGAAAACCCCCAAAAAGAUUAUCAAUUUCCUUAUUCGAUUUCCAAAUGAAUAUUUUGACAAUCAACCUUUCGUUCAUUCUUCUUCUUGAUAGAGGUAAAUUUUUGUUUCCUUAUUAAACUUUGAUAUAUUCUAGCUACUCAAAUCAAGUUUGAUUUGUUUAAAGAGAAUUUCAUGUUUUAGUCAAAAUUAGGGUCUUUAAUGGAUAAAUCUGGGUUUUCCAAUUGAAAUGUUGUUUGUAGGUAUUUUUUGACUUUUCUUAAUGAGACUAGAAGGUUUUUAAACUUGAUUUAAUCAAUCGUUAAAAUAUUUGAAGGAUUUAAUGAUUUUUUGUUCAAAGUACUCAUGAAUGUCGAAAAUUUUCAGAAACAUAAAUCUAAAAAUGAUGGAUAGUUUAAAGUUUGAGAUAUGCUCUUAAAUGAAUAACUAGGUGUUUGGAAUCGAUUUUAAGCAAUAGGAACAAGUCUAAAUUAAGAAAUCUGAGUUCCCGCUAAACUAGUCAAAAUUUUUGGUUUAAAGAGGAGUUAGGUAGAAUCUACGUUAAUGUUUGAUUUAUGGUGAGUUUAUGGCUGUUAAUUGUUUUUACAUAGUAUGUGGUUAAUGUUUGUUAAGUUUCAGAAUCAUUGGAGCCCUCUACGAGUAAGGCGAAAGGUAAGGAAAAGCUAGGUUUGAGCUUUUGGCUAAUAAGUGGAAACGUGAUUGGUGAGUGUCUUGAGUCACUAUUGGUAUGCACAAUCCGUAGCAUUAAUCGAGAGCUUAGGAAUUGCCUAAACUCUUAUCCUAUGUUCCGAGUGUAUGCCUUCUUUAUACUUUUGCCUUGAUAUAAAACUUUGCUUAAUAUAUGUCGAGUUAAGGAAUGUGAGGUUCUUAUGACAAGUAAUGUGUAUGAAUAUUUGGAUGCAAUAAAUUGAUUUUAAUGCACACAAAUGUAGUCUGAUAUGUGAUGGCUCAAUUAGCAUUGUUGUGGCACUUAAAGUGCAAAUAAAUGUGAAUUCGGUAAGCAUGCAUUGUGUACAAGUUUGUGGUGUAAAUUGAUGAAUAUGAAUAGAGAUGAUGUGCAUUAAUACAAUAAUUAAAUAUGUGUAAUUGUGGAUAUUUUUGCCUUGUGAUCUCUUGAAACCGUUGGAUAUAGUUGGCAUGCCAUAGAUGGAGAGAUAAGGGAAUGUCGAGCUAAGCUCCAUUCAUUAGGACAUGCUGGUAUGAUGGAGAGUGUUUAGCAACAUGCUACACUUAUGGGACAUGUUAGAGUUUUUGAGUCAUUGGUGGGAUGGAAAUUUAUGUAUCUAAUGUGCGGUGAUAGACUCUAGUUUUACGUUUCAUAAUCUCCAGUUGUCAAAUUAUCAUUAAAUGAUUUAUGUAUGAAAUAUGUCAUAUGUAUGUGCAUGUGAGUACUUAAGCUAAACAUGUGAGAUAAUGUACCAUGAAUAUGAUAUUUUGACUUAAUGAAAUAUGAAUGUGAAUGUGUCGUAGUAUGCUCUUGCUUAACAUAUGACGUUGUGUAUGCUUGUGGUAAUUUUGAACAUUCACUGAGCUUGUUUAAGCUCACACACUUCACAUUAAAAUUUUGCAGAUAAGUAGCACUUUCGGUGUGAAUGGUGUGGCCAAGGAAGUGAUCUUAGCAAGGAAAUAAACUUUUGAAUAGGUGGUUUUAUAAUUUUUGAACACUUUGAAUAAAGGCAUUAUUGAAUACUCAGGACACAAUUAUCGAUACCAUGAGGUUGGGAUGUUUUUAAAAAUUAACAAUAACCCAAUUUUGUAUCGAUACCCAACUACGAGUAUUGCUUGAAAUAUCAAUACUCUUACCAAAGUAUCGAUAAAAUGGUUUAAAAAAAUUUUGACAGAGAGCUAAAAAUGUAUCAAUUUUUACAUCAGUAUCAAUACCUAAUUUACUAUAUAUCAAUACCUACUAUUUUGUAUCGAUACCUACAUUGUUUUCUUUAGGACUUUUAAAAAAAUGGACCCUAUUUACGGAUAAAACUGUUUCUAGUGUCGUAUAAUGUUUAACUAGACAGGACCACCCUUUUUGAUUAUUGAAUGUAGUAGUUGUUGUUCUUAUUUGAAGCUAUCUGUGCAUGUGUAUAAGGGUCCGUUUGUUUACAUGUAAAAGGUUUUACGGAAAAUAUUUUCUGCAUUUUCCUGUGUUUGUUUCACAGAAAACAGCUUCGUCAACAGAAAAUGACUUACAAGUCAACGAAAAAUAAGCCUUUUUCCUUGUAAAAUGGCUUACCUUUUUGAAAAGCGUAAGUCAUUUUCCGGAAAAGAGCUUCUCAAUAGAUAAUUUUACUUUGAUAUAAAAAUUAACUUAAAUCAAGUUUAAUAUUAUUAUAUUGAUAAUAAUUUUUAUUUUUAUUUUUAAAAAUAUUUAAAAUAUUUAAAAUAUUAAUAGAAACUGUUAUAUUUUUUAAUAUUAUUAAACAUACGUAUUUAAUUAUUUAUAUUUAGUCAUAUAAUAAAUUAUUAAUAUAAUUUAUUAUUUUUAAUAAAUUAUUUAAUACUUAAAUUUUAUUUUAAUAGUAAAUUUUAAAAAUAAUAAUUUUAAAUAAUAUUAUUCACUUGAAAAAAUCAAUAUUAAUAUUUUAAUACUAAAUAUUUAUUACAAUUAUAAAUAUAUUAAUAAUAAAUAUUUUGUAGUAUAAAUGUUAAAUAUACUCUUCACAAUUUUGCAAUUUAGUUUCUGUACUUUUAUUUUCAAGAAUUUAGUCCCUCUACUUUCCAAAUUUGAAAAUCAAGUCAAACUACUGACAUUGUUGUUUUUUUUGUCAAUUUUGUUAAAGUCACAUUUUUAAAUAAAAAAAUACUCAGUUGGUAGUCAUGUAACUAAAAAAUAAUCGUUGCAAUGAACCUAAAUUUAACAAAAUAUUUUUAAUAUAUGUAAAAACAAUGUAAAAUAUAAAAUUAUAGAUAUAAAAUAAACUCAAUUAAACAAUGAAAAAAUAAAUAAAAAUCUCAAAUGUAUGUUUGUUUAAUUGAAAACGACUUUUAUGAAAUAUUUUUAAAGAACCUGUCAAACAAAAGAAAAUAUUUUACACAGAUUCAUCCAAACACCAGAAAAUAUUAGCUUUUCUAGAAAAGUAAGUUAUUUUCCAGAAAUCAUUUUCCAGAAGCUAUUUUCAGUGAAACAAACGGAGCCUAAGUUUCAAUAGCGAUUGUAGCAUCCUAUUACUAGGUUUUGACGACCAGGCCAGAUAAGGGGUAUUACGUUUGAUGGUAUCAGAGCCUAGGUUUUCUAAGAGUCAGACCUAAGUUUGUUAGUAUUCGGGACUAGGGUGUAACCUAUGUACCUAGAUUUUCAUAUUACUUAAACUGUUUGACUUGAAUAUCUCUGUUAAAGUUAUUGUGAAAUUGUUUUUUUUGGGGGGUAGGAUUGGGAACACAUUUCCUUUAUUUAAAUGUUUCCUUUCAGGAACAUGCCUUGGAUCAUUUCCCGCCACUCACACUCUUGGUUGAUUGUGUUUGUUAGAGUAGAUACAAUAUGCCUCGUAGACGUGUUAAUGUGAAUGGGAACGCUCAAGAGGAUAGUACAUCCUCUGCACCUCUUGUGAUGCCUCAUAGAGUAAAUGUACCAGAUGAGAGUGUUGGCCUUCUGAUGCAAGCCAUGAUUGGGGUAUUUCAGAGGAUUGUAGAUGCCAACCCUGCUCCUUCCAAUCGGGGACUGCCACUUGAAUAUCUGCGGGCAUUAGGCGAUAAUUUACUCGAUUAAAGGGAGUUGAUCCAACUAUAGCGAAAUACUAGCUUGAAAGUGUGGAGAGGAUCCUUGAUCAUAUGUCCAGUAUUGGCGACGAGAAGUUGGGAUGUACUAUGUCCCUACUCGACAGAGAAACCCACCGUUGGUGGAAUACAUUGAAGAGAGGUACUAUUGCAGACCGUUUGACUUAAGAUUAUUUAUUAGAAGUGUUUAAAAGGAAGUUUACGGGUGAGCAGUACUUGGAAGCCCGUAACCUUGAAUUUAUAGACAUGGUUCAAGGUAGUUUGACUGUGGCUGAGUACGAAUCGAAAUUUGUGUGACUCAGCCAGUACGUUCUUGAGAUGGUACUUACUAAGAGAGACUGAUACUAGUCGUUUUGUUUUGGGCUUAAUCAAGAGAUUACAGUUUAUUCGGUAGCUCAAAAUAUUGAGUUGUUCGAUGAGAUGGUUGAGAAAUCCAAAGCUAUUGAGGAAACUUUGGCUGAGCCAUCGUGCUCAGUGGUGACUGAAUCAGGGAAAAGAACCUUUAAUAGUUCUAAAAGAUCUAGACGACCGUCUAAGAGAGGCCAUGAUAUUUAGGGUUUUGAUAGGAGUGCAUGACACGAGUUUAUACCAAGUCAAUCUAAGCAGCAGAGCAGUAUGGUGGUUAGCAUUGGUGGGUUGUCAAGAGAAUCUGGAUGGCCGUAUUGUGGACAUUAUGAGCGUAGACAUUCUGAAGAGUGCCAAAAAUUGACAAGAGGAUGUCUCAAGUGUGGCUCUAAAGAACACUUGGUGAGGGAUUGUCCAAAUAGAGUUGAGGUUUCGUAGACUCAGAGUUUUGCACCUGUACCUGUGCAUGCUCAAGGUCAUGGCCGAGGUAGAGGUGGUAAUGUGGGACCGGUUGGGCAGUGGGAUGCUGCUCAUAUCGUUACUACUCAGGUGGAGACCGAAGGACCAGCUCGCAUGAAUGCUAUUAGGAAGUCACAAGAUUAGGAUUCUAUCAAUGAGAUUGCGGGUAUUUUUUCCUUGUAAUCAAUCCAUUUAUUCUCAUUGGUAGAUUUAGGAUCUAUACCUUUGUAAAUUUUGUGCAAUUUAACUAAUAAGCAAAGAAUCCAGAUAAAGGCUAUUAAAUUAGGAACUAUGAUUACGAGUUCUUCAAAUGAGAGAUCAUAGAGAAUAAAGGAAACUAAUAGUGAAGUCACCGAAAGACAGUCCAUGGUAGUGAAUAGGAUCUUCAUAAAAAACCCUAAAAAAGUUAAAAAGGAAUCUGAGUUGUGCAGCGAAAGCGUGGUGGUUGUUUUAAAGGAAAACAUAACAGGUUUUGUGAUUAAGUGAAUGAUGUGUCAUCAGGAAAAUUUCGAGGACAAAAUUCUUUUUAGAGGGAAAGAGUUGUCACACUUCGAAGAACGAGUUAGAAGAAUCGAGUUUUUUAGCUGGAGGUUGUGUCAGAUAAAAGAAAAUAAGGUCGUAAGUGAGUAAUUUAAGUAUGUGAGUUUCAUAAUCAGGUUCUUAAUUUAUUUGUUGGCUAAAAAAAUUUCAAUUUUGAGGUCUAAUUAGAAAAAAGGAAGAGCUAGGUGUAAUAGCCCGUUUUCAGUGAAAUCGGAACAGUGGUUUAGGGGCCACAAAUUCGAGGUCAAAAUAAAAUUUAUUUUAAUAUUAUUUUAUGGUCUACAAUAUGAUAGAAAUAUCAUACCAAAAUUUCAUUAAGAAAUUUUAUCGUUUACAUGUCUAAUUUGAUAAAGAGGGUCAAAUUGCAUAAAGUGCAAAAGUUGAAUUCUAGUAGCUAAAGGUAUCAAAUAGCUAUGGAAUUUAAAAUUUGAAGUCCUUAUAUGACAAAUAGACCAUUUAGAAGAGUUAGUAGAUAAGGAUGAUUAUUCAUCAUUAGAAAUUGAAUAAAGUAUUAGGGUUAAUUUUGGAAAGAUGAUAAAAUAAUGAUGGUAAAUGAAAUAAUUAAUUAAAUUAAUAUCAUUUUCAUCAUCUUUCCUAAAAUAAAACAUGGAAACCCUAGCCAUGAGAGUUGAGCUCAAGCAAGCUUAUUUUACUUAAUUACGUAAGUAUUUUGGUCCCGUUUUUAAUGAUUUUUAUAUUUUCGAAAUCGUAAUAGCUUAAUCUAGCUAUCUUGGGUAUUAAUUUGUAAAACUAUUAAAGUGUUAGGGUUUUCCCAUGGAUGAGUAUAGUUUAAUUAUGAAAUUUUAUGGUAGAAAAUGAAAGGUUGUUGAUAGCUAAAUAACUUCUGUAAAGUGAAUUUUGAUAAAAUUAUGAUUUAGAGACUAAAUUGAAAAGAUUAUAAAUUCAUGGAAAAAUUCUAAAUUUUAUGAAAUUCAUGGGCUACUGUUGUUAUAUAUGAAAAUCAACUAGGCUUGAAAUAAGGAUUAAAUUGUAUGAAUUUCAUUUUUUGAGCCUAGGGACAAAAUCGUAAUUCAAUAAAAGUCCUUGAAUGUGGAACUUGCUUGAAGAUCUUGUUCAUCCAUGAUUAAGGGUUAUUAUAUGUGAUUACUUGGCUAACAUGAUGAGGAUAUGUGUUAGGGCUUUUGGCCAAUUUGGUUUGAAUAUGCCUUGAAUGCUUACCUUAAUUGUGAUUAAAUGGUAAGUUAAAUUUCAUGUUAUACGAACUUACUAAGUAUUAAAUGUUUACUCUGUUUUAUUUUCCCUGUUUUAUAGUAAUUCGGAAGCUCAUUUUGGUUGGAAGCUGGUCAGAGCAACUUCACACUAUCCAUCGGCCCUUUUCGGUAUAUUUAGUAAAUCAAUUUUGGUUAUAAUGACACGUAUAGGUUAACUUGGCCAAUGAUGGCAUGCAAAUGUUUUGUUGUGAUUAGCCAUUUGAAUGGCUUAUGUUUGAUACAUUUUGAUAUGUAUAUAUAUGGCCUUAACAUGUUUGAUGUGUGUGUGAUAUGGUUGAAUGAUGGAAAUCAUAUAGGCAUAUUGAUGAUUUUUUUUGAGAUAGUAUAUUUGGUACAAAUAUGCAUAUAUGUGUAUUUGGUUAAUUUGGUAAGUAUGGAUACUUAGAUAUAUGUGGUGAUAUGUUAUGUAGAAGACUUGGUUUUGGCUUGAUUUGAAUGCCUUGUUAUGUCUUGUUAUUGUGUAAAAAUGUAAGUUAGGUUGAUGACAAUUGGGGUAAAAAAUAUGGCUUGGAAAAUGGUAUAUUUUUGUCUACACGGGUAGAGACAUGGGCUUGUGUCCCCUGCAUCUUUAAAAUUGCAAAACAGAAUUCUCACACUGCCUAGCACACAGGCGUGUGUCUUGGCCGUGUGACCCAAGUCAGAGAUCUCCUAAGUUUGGACUUGGGCUGGGACACAGUCGUGUGUCCUUAUUUCGAAUGCCCACACGGCCUGAGACACGGGCGUGUCUCUUGACCGUGUGAGUCACAGGACCUGACCACACGAGCAUGUGUCCCCUACACCUUUGAAAAAUUGUAAUAUUUUCUGAAAAAUUCUCUGAGUACCAAGUUUAGUCCCGACAUGUUUCUAAUGUCUAUUUUGGGCCUCGAGGGCUCACAUAAGGGACAAUAUGAUCAAUUUUGAUUGAUUUCUAAUAUGAAUGCUAAAUGAUAUGAAAUGUCUGUUAUAUAAUCUGUAAACUUUGGUAACACUCCGUAGCCUUGUUUUGGCAAAGGAUAUGGGUUAGGGGUGUUACACUAGGAGUGACCAUAGAGGCAAAUUGCCCAAUUUUUGUAAAUUGGCUUUCAAAUUGCAGCCACUCACAUCUCCUUAUCUUUUGCGACAUUCAAAAUAAAAUUUCUCUUAAACCCAAAUCCCUAAUUUUCUCUCAAAUUGGCUUAACCUUUGUGAUUUUUUCAUCUCCAAAACUCUGAAAUCUCUCUGAAUUUUUAACAAAACCCCCCAAAAAUAUUAUCAAUUUUCUCAUUCGAUUUCCAAACGAAUUUUCUGGAAAUCAACCUUUCAUUCAUUCAUUCUUCUUCUUGAUUAAAUUAAAUUUUUGUUUCCUUACUAAGUUUUGAUAUAUUCUAGCUACUCAAAUCAAUUUUUGAUCCGUGCCAAGAGAAUUUCAUGUUUUAGUCAAAAUUGGGAUCUUUAAUGGCGAAAUUCAGGUUUUCCAAUUAAAUUGUUGUUUCUAGGUGUUUUUUGACUUGUUUUGAUGAGAUUAGAAGGUUUUUAAACUUACUUUAAUCAAUCAUUAAGAGAUUUGAAGGAUUUAAUGAUUUUUCGUUCAAAGUAGUCAUGAACGUUGAAAUUUUUCAGAAACAUAAAUCUAAAAAUUUUGGGUGUUUUAAAGGUUGAGAUCUACUCUUAAAUGAAUAACUAGGUGUUUGGAAUCGAUUUUAAGUAAUAGGAACAGGUCUAGAUUAAGAAAUUUGAGUUUUGGCUAAACUAGUUAAAAGUUUCAAAAUCGUUGAAGCCCUCUACGAGCAAGGCAAAAGGUAAAGAAAACCUAGUUUGAGCUUUCGACUAAUAAGCGAAAGCGUGAUUGGUGAGUGUCCAAAGUCACUGCUAGUAUGCACGAUUCGUAGAGUUAAUUGGGAACUUAGGAAUAGCCUAAAAUCCUAUCCUAGUUCUGAGUGUAAGCCUUCUUUAUACUUUUUCCUUAAUGUAAAACUUUACUUAAUGUAUGUCGAGUUGAGGAACGUGAGGUUCUUAUGAUAGGUAAUGUGGGUGAAUAUUUGGAUGCGAUAAAUUGAUUUUAGUACACACAAAUGUGGUCUGAUAUGUGAUGGCUCAAGGAGCAUUGUUGUGACACUUAAAACGCAAAUAAAUGUGAAUUCGAUAAGUAUGCAUUGUGUACAAGUUUAUGAUGUAAAUUGAUGAAUAUGAAUAGAGACAAUGUGCACUAAAGUAGUAAUUAAAUAUGUGUAAUUGUGGAUAUUUUGGCCUUGUGAUCUCUUAAAAUCAUUUGAUAUAGUUGGCAUGUGAUAGGAUUGUGAGCACUCACCUUUGUAUUUUGUGAUUUGGGCAUUGAAGCCCUAGGACAAGUUGGAGAGAUAAGGGAAUGUCGAGCUAAGUUCAAUUCAUUUGGACAUGUUGGUGUGUUAGGGAGUGUUUGGCAUUAUGCUACACUUAUGGGACAUGUUAGACUCUUUGAGUUAUUGGUGUGAUGGAGAUCCGUGUAUCCAAUGUAUGGUGAUAGUGUCCACUUUUACAUUUCAUAAUCUCAAGUUGUUAAAUUAUCAUUAAAUGAUUUAUGUAUGAAAUAUGGCGUAUGUGUGUGCAUGUGAGUACUUAAGCUAAACAUGUGGGUUUGUUUGGAUAGCAGAAAAUAAUUGAAUGAAAAUGUAAUUAUUAGGAUAAUAAUUACUCUCUUUUGUAAUUAUAAGAAAAUUGUAAUUUCCUAGAUGUAUUUAGUUAACAGAGAGUAAUUAUAUCGUAAUUUCCUAUGUCAUGUUUGGUAGUACAAAUUGUAAUUACACAGUUACAUAAAUUCCAUUUAAAAAAAUAUUAAUUACUAUAAAAAUUUAUUAGUAUGAUAAAAAUAAUUUAUAAAUAAGUAACAAAAAUUAAAAUAAAAUAAUCAUAUGCAUUGUGUUAGUCUAAAAAUGUAAUUGAUAAUACGAUUACUAAAAAAAUAACAAGAAAAAUAAACCAUAUACAAUUUUUUUAAUUGUUCUAGUUCAUAUUUAUUGGGUUAUUCCCUCUUUAGUAUUUAAAAUAUGCACCGUAUUAUCAUAUGUUGGUCUUUCCUCUUUAACUGAGUUAAUCAUCAUUUGAAUUUGUAUCUUUAAGAUUAUCAAGAUGUUCUUCUUCCAUGUACUUUUUGAAAUAUAAAUUAUCUCAAUUCCACCUAUGAUUAAAAUUGUGAAAUAUGCAACAUGCUAAUACGAUCCAACUUUUUUUUAUAUGUUAUACAAAGGUGAUGUUGUUAAUAUGAUAAAUAUUUUUUCAGAACAACAAAUACCUUCUCAACCGCAUUUUGAAGCCUUAAAUGUUUCAAAUCAAAGUUUUAUUGUGCUUGUGUUUAACAUUAUUUUCUCAAAUGGUAUCAUACACCACAAUAUAUUGUAAGAAACUUUUUUAUUUGCAUAAUUAACACCGACCUUAUAAUAUUUAGACUCACAAUUAGAGGUGAUCAUGGUCCGGGACUCAGCUCGAGCCCCUCUACAGCCUCUACCUCAGCCUUUAGUACCCGUCUGCGGAUACCUCAUGCACUCAUCGUAGAAUUCGUAGCUUAUCUGUGUUAACAGUUUUAUGAAUCAAUUACAGUUUUGAUAUCUAUUAGUAGAUAUUUUAUGCAAAAUAGUAUCAGAAGUUUAGAGUUUGUUAACACGAAUCGCAGACUUGCUAUAGUUUUCAGUUUCGCUACCGUUUUUAGUAUACUCUAUCUACAGUGUUCUCAGUAUAGUGUACUACCUAUAGUAGUUUCAGAACAUGCUACUCAUAUUUUCAAAAACUUACCAAAGUUUUUAGAACAUUUACAAAAUCAGCGCCGAAGACUCAGUGUACCACAUACUCAGUCAAAAAUAUUUCAAACCAUUUAAAAAUCAUCUCUUUAAAACCAAGUUUUAAAACCCAAACCCACAGCUAAGUAUUGCAACCUGGCUCUGAUACCACUAAAUGCAACACCCUAAACCCGGCCUAGAUGUUAUGGUCGAAUCUGGCGAUGUCACAUGGAAAGAGAUUCAAAGAUAAUAUUGUCGAAUUUAAAAACCGUUACAGUAAGUUAGCUUUUAUUUAAUUCGAAAAAAAACUAGUUGAUUUACUUUAAAACUUGUCUCUUAUUGAAAGCUUUUUUAACAAAUUAAUUUAGGGAAAAUCGUUUCUAUUUACGAAGAACCUUAGUUUUUUAGGAAAAAAAUCGUGUUUUGUGGAGUUGCAGUUUUUAAAAAAAUCCAUAAAAAACAGUAUAAAGUCCCAAAUUUAAAGCCAUCCAGUUCAUAGUCUAGAAAAUACAUCAAAAACCUCAAAUAAGUAAUAAAUUCUAGACAUUAUGGAAAAUAGUCUAAAAUUUACGUGUGGCCACCGUUGAGUCCUCCGCUGCACCGACCCGUCAAGUUUGGGGAUUACCUGUAUAGAUUAAAAAAAGAAAGGGUAAGUUUUCGCAAACUCAAUGUGUAAUCCCCACAGAAAACAUGCAUACAAAUAAUCAAUAUAAUUCAGUUAGAUACAGUUCGAGGCCUGUGUCCAUCACAGAAUCAGUUUGGGCCUUAACCCAUUCAGAUACAGUCUUAGAAAUGCAUUAGGACCUUGGCCCAUAUCAGAUACAAAAUGCAGAUACAGUAAAUCAGAAUCCUACCCACCAGCCUCUACACACCAUCUCCGUCCAACCCUACACACCAUGUGGGGAUUAAAUCAACCCACUCAUCCCUACACACCAUGCUGUACCGAAAUGCGGCACAUAAUCAUAAGGUUGCAGCUGAGCUGCCAGAUAACAGACUUAAUAGCCUUUCAGACACUUUCUUCAAAUAUCAUCAACCUACCCCGAUGCAAUGCAGCAUACAAAAUAUGUCAUGCCAUUUGCAAUUAAUAGUACAUACAUUCAGAUAUCAUAAGUCAUGCUCGGUAUAGAAAUCACACAGAUCACACAUAUAGGGGUCUAAGUAAAGCUUACCGACCCUUCAGUAGGUCCAUAGUUGACUUGGGCGACCCGUGCAACCUUACAGAACUUUUUAGAAAAAUAGGCUCACACGCCCAUGUGGCCCACUCGGCCCAAAUUGGCCUUGGCCACAUGAUCCAUUUUUAAUGUAACUCGUGCUAGUUAAUUAUUCAUAUAUGUUUUCACUAUUUACUUAUAUGUUCCUUCAAAGUUGUCUACUUGAGUCACUGUUACUAAAUUAUUUAUAUAUUGAGCUACAGAAUUCCGAAUUAAAAUCUACUUAAUGGUUUUGAAACUAGACUCAAAUACCUUUCUACCAUAAAAUUUUCAAAAUUUUUUGUUCUGCCAAUAAGUACAGUAAAAUCUUCAAACUUACCCAUGUUCUGCUGUCUGACAGCUUCUUCCUUUCUUUGCUAAAAAUUAAUUAUCUCUUAGUAAAAAAUUUGGAUGAUGUUUCAAUUUGUUUCUAUUGAAAAUAGUCUCAACAAUAAUUUAAAUAUGUAAAUUUUAACCCCCAAUUAUUUUUCUCCAAUUUUCACGAUUUUCCAAAGUCAGAGCAGGGGAACCCCAAUUCAUUCUGACCUUGUCUCACAAAGUUUAUUAUGCCUUUCUCAUGAAUUCAUUCUGAUGUAAUUUACCCAACAAUCAAAUAAAAGCCUACUGAACAAGAGUAAGGCCUAAUUCAUUCAAAAUACUAAAAUUUUCUCAAGCGAAGGCUCGAACUUGGGACCUCCCAGACACUUUCAGAACACAUAACCACUAAAGUUGACAGAUAUUUGUGUCAUAUUUUCAUAACAACGAAAUUAGAAAUUUUUGGGCGUUAUAAAAGUUGAGCAGAUUGAUGAAAAACAAUCUCAUAAUCAAGGGUACCACAUAAAUACCGCAAGAUUCAUUUUAAUGUAACCAGGUGGAUAGCAGUAGGCGCAUGCAUGAACUAACAUAUGCGAUUUAACGCGUAGGCAAUAUCAGGUCGAGUAAAGACCACAUACUGUAAAGCACCUACAAGACUUCUGUAUUUAGUAGGGUCAUGAAGAUGAUCCCCAUCAUCCUUAGAUAGAGGAGACGAAGUAAUCAUAGGAUUAUGAACAUUCUUUGCAUGAGUCAUGGAACUCCUAUCUAGCAGAUCGUGAAUGUGCUUUCAUUAGCAUAGAUGAAGACACCCUUCGGCGGAACGAGUAACCUUAAUCCCUAAAAAAUAAAGGAGAUCACCCAUAUGUUUAAGUGAGAACUCCUUAUUCAACUACUGAACAAAGAUAUUUAUACAGGUAGACAUGCUUUCAGUAAUGAUAAUAUCAUCCACAUACACAAGAACAUAAAUAGUGGAGUUAGGCGUGACUUUAAUAAACAAAGAUGUAUCAGACUUUGAUAGAAGAAAACCAACAAAAAUGAGAAAGCACUUCAAUUUAUCAAACCAAGCACGCGGAGCCUGACGUAGUCCAUACAAAGCCUUCUUCAGACGACAGACCAAAUGUUUACCAUUAGAACCAUAUUGAACAUACCCUAGAGGUUGCUGCAUAAACACUUCAUUAGUAAGAUCACCAUUUAAAAAGGCAUUAUUCACAUCCACCUGACGAAGUUGCCAACCCUUGGAAACAACAAUAGAUAGUAUGAUUCGAAUAGUAGCAGGUUUUAUUACCGAACUAAAUGUUUCCUUGAAAUCGCACCCAGGUACCUGAGAACAUCCUUUAAUUACUAACUAAGCCUUACGACACGCAAUCGUGCCAUCAAGAUUUUAUUUACUUUGAAAAGUCAUUUACAUCCGAUCACUUUACAAUUAUUUAGUAACGGAACAAGUUUCAGGUGGAGUUAUGAAUGAGGGCAUCAUACUCAGACCGAGCAGCGGCAAGCCAUUUGGUGGUAAAAAUGGCUUUCUCAAUCGUGUGAGGCUCAACAGAUUCAACAGACAGAGCCUUGGGCUUAAAAACGCCAGCCUUAGACCAAGUAACCAUCGGAUAAGUAUUUGUUAGGUGCAAAAGAGCUGACGAAAUAGUAGGAGAAACUGGAAUAUUAGAAGCAAUCGUGGUUGGAUUGGGUACACCGUCAUUGUCAGGUAAAGAGGAGAGAGGACAGAGCUCAUGUGCAGAUCCCAAAACAACCUGAAGAACUUUAGAGUUAGAGAGAGAGGGACAUAAACCAAGAGGUGAGGUCAACGCAAGAGGUUGAGCGGAUGAGGACUCCUUGGGUCGAGAGCAGACAGGUUGAACAAGAGGAACAUAUGUUGGUGAGAGAGAUUGACCUAAUGAAGAUCUGGAACCUCCCGUAACAGACAUAGGAAACAGAAAAUGGUGUUCAUCAAACACAACAUGAUGAGAAAUAAUGACCUUACCAUCCGGUGUGAGACAUUGAUACCCUUUAAGUUAGGAACUAUAUCCUAUAAACGUAUAAGGUUAAGAACAAAAAUCUAACUUGUGACGCAGAAAGGGACGCAGAUACGGAAAACAACAACACCUAAACAUUCGUAAAUGAUCAUAUGUGGGAUCUUGUCUAUGCAGAACCUUGUACAGGGAUUGUCCGUUCAAAACCGAGGUAGAAAGACGAUUGAUGAGAUAAUAGCAUAAAAAAUGCAUUGCCCUAAUAAUCUAUAGGAAGAUUUGUUCGGGCCAAAAAUGUAAUACCCAUGUCAACAAUAUGCUGGUGAUUGCGUUCAGCCACCUCAUUCUGUUCGGGCGUAUGAAGAUAGGACAGUCUAUGAAUUAUCCUUGAGUCACCAACACUGACGUGAAAGUGCAAAACUCUCCUCCCCAAUCACUCUGAAAUUGUUUGAUUUUUUCCCAAAUUGAGUCUUGAUUAAUUGUUGAAACUAAACAAAACAAUCCACCGCCUAAGACUUUUGACGAAUAAGAUAAAUCCAAGUAAAGUGAGUGCACAUGUUAAUAAACGAGACAUAAUACCGAUUACGUCCAUAGGCAACUGAUGUAGGUCCCCAUAGUCGAAGACCACCAAAGUAAAAGGAUCAGUAUAUUCAGUAGUAGGGGUUGGAAAAGACAGUUUAUGAGACUUCCCUUUUUGGCAUACAGUAUAAACAUUAUCAAGACAAACUUUAUUGGAAGCAAUAUUACAUUUAUCUAAAACAGAUUUAACAAUAGAAGCAGAGGGAUGACCAAGACACUUGUGCCAUAAAGAAAAAUUAUCACAGCUAGCAGUCUGAGUCUGAAGUCCAAUAUUGGCAAUAAAAGGAGCCACAAUAAACGGAACAGACGCAAUCGACGGAGAAAAAUAUUAGAGCCCAUCACUAAUGUGGCCCCUCAAUAAAAUUUCCUGAGUCUUGAUGCCCUUAACAACACAAUAAGUUAGAUGAAAUUCAAAAAACACGUUAUUGCUAGUGGCAAACUGAUAUACAGACAGUAGAUUCUUCUGUAUAGUCGGUACACAUAAAACAUUAGAUAAGCGAAGUAAUUUAUUCUAUGAAGAAAACACUGAAUUUCCAACAGAUGAGAUCCUGGUGGGAGUCUCGUCACCCAUUAAUAGAGAGGAUGUACCUGAGUAAGGUGUAGAGUCAUUCAACAUAAAGGCAUCACGACAUACAUGGUGUGUAGCCCUUGAUUUUGGAUACCAGGAUGCAGUUCUGAUGAGUAUAGAGAUAUAGAAACCAGUAUCAUCAAGGUUGGACCUAAAUUGAGUGGCGUGAAUAUUAGGAUCAAUAGAAUUAGAUACAUCGGACGCAUGCAAAUCGGGUAGACGAGUGAGCCCAAUGCACGGAUCAGACUCAGUGCAAACAUGAGCCCUCAGUUUGGUCCGCCAAGGAACAGACGGCCCAGACGCAUGAUAAUCACCGUCACCGAAAUGCCCAAUCUCGCGUCCAUGUCCAAGAGAAUUAGAAAACUCUACACAAUUGGAUGUUGGCCCAUUUGGAAAAUUAGUAGCCUGCGGCCCAAGUAAAGUAAACGUGCCCCCAAGUUCCUAGUUUGAGCUAGAUGGCCUGGCACGCACGGGCUGACCAGGAUAAUAGCCAUAGUCAUACGGCCUAGUAGCAGCAGGCCCGAACCCAGCAGCAGCAGCAAAACUGCCAAAUUAUGAGUCCUGCCUAGGCACUAAAGGAGAAGACUCAUGCCUAGGCCCAAAUUGCAACAUUGCCCCAGCGGUAUUAUGCCCAAAUCCAUCAUCAAAGACUGCAAAGGGGUUAGAAACCCUAGUGGACAGCCUAGGCAUGUGAGGUGUAGCACAAAAUUUUUGCCAGAGAAUAAACCAUACGGCACUGUCGUCGAAGGGCCAUCAAACCCACCAGGAGUUUGCGACGGAAACAAAAACCCAGCAGUCGAGACCUGACUCAAACGACUGACCGAGAGUUAAAGCCUGAGCCACCGAUGGUUGUCCAUCAUAAUCGCGAUUAUAAUGAUAACAACAUCACUAGGCUAAAUGCCCAAAUCGGCCGUAAAUAUGACAUUGGAUGCAGGAACGAAAUCCUUUGCCACGACCGCCAGACAGAGGAGGCCACCAUGAACAGAAUCCACCAUCGGUGGUAACGGAACAGACUCCACAAGAUUUGCAUGAAUCAACAGUUCUUGAACUGCACGCAUCUGUCACGUCUCAUAUUCUAAUAACAAGUCAACAAGACGUUGAAAUGGAAGAGUUUCAAACGAGAACGAUGCUAAGGUAAGCACAGCAUCAAACUCCAGAGGUAGACCUGUAAGGACAAUCUUAACCUUUUCUGCCUCUGAGAUCCGAAAGCCAGAAGCCUCGAUCAAGGCACAGGUAUUCUGAAUUUUUGCUACAUAUUUUUUGAUUAAGAGGUUAUCUUUCUUAAGUGAGUAUAGAUCGUGACAAAUGCGAGAUAAUUUUGCACCUGUGACUGCUGCAAAGAGACGAGUGGAAGUAUUCCAAACAUCACACGCCGUUCAAGCAUCUGUAAAUGAGGAUAAUAGUGAAUGAUUAAUAGUGGAGAGUAACCAAGAGGCAAGUAACCUAUAAUGUUGAACGAACGCCGAGGCAUCCGGAUUUGGAACAAGAGAUCCCUCUGGUGACUGUACAAAACGCGGUGGAGCAGGUAACGUGCCCUCCAAAAAACCAGUCAGUUCGUAAACUUCAAUGAUCAGGUGAAUAUGUUGCUGCCAUUGAACGAAAUUUCCAUCAUCCAAUUUAACAGUGUCAUGGCAAGGGAAGGAUUGAACGAUCCGAACACCAGUGGACGCCGAACAGCCAUGCUCGACAGAGGCAGAGUCAGUAGAAGUAGUGGUAGUCAUGGGAGCAAACGAAGAUCAGGUCUCCAGCACCAAGGCGACUGAUACCAUGUUAAUAUCUACAGUAAGCUAAGUAAAAGCUAUAUCGUGUAUUGAAAAAGGUAUUCUGUAUUAUUUAUGUAUUAUCUUCAUUGAAUUGUACAACACUAGUAUUUAUAGAAUAUGUGAGCUAGUUGUUGCUAGUAACUGUUGUUAACAACAUAACAGUUUUGAAUAACAGAUUAACAACUUACAAUAACAGAGUCGUUACCAUUAUACUCUAACAAAGUUGGAGGGGCAAAAAAAUCAUUAUGCCAAUAAGUAUAUUAUUUUUAUACUUCUUGGCCAUAACUUUUCACAAAUAAAUAUAUUAUAACACUUUUAUAACAAUUUUUUUUCAUAAUUUUAGACUUUUUUAGGAUUUAAAUAAUUUUUUUUGUUAUAACUUUAAAAAUACCCAUUAUUUUUAUAAUAUAAGAAAAUUUUGGUAAUAAUCAUCCCAAACUCUCAUACAUGUUCAUGUUUUUAUAACUUGUAUAAAAAUAAUUUUUAAAAAUUAGAUUGUGAUGUGAUUAUUUGCGUAAUUAUUUCCAUUCUCACUCUCUCCUUAAAAAUCAAAAAGUGUAAUCGUGAUGCUUCAAUUACAUCCAAUUUAGUAAAAUUCAUUUUAACUAUUGCUAGUAUUCUUUUUAAAGAAAUAAUGUAAUUUUAAUUGUAUAUAGAAUAUUUACCAUCACAGUUAUAAUUUAUAAUGCAUAUAGAAUAUUUUAUAUUAUGCUCUUAACUUCUCAAAAAAUGUAAUUAAAUAAAUUAAUCUUCCCAUAUAACAAAUUGCUAUUAUCGUUAAUAUACCAAGACAAUUUUUAGAUUAAAAAUGAAUUGGGAAGAAUUAAUGGCAAGUCAAUCUUGGAAUAUCAUUACAAACCAUUUUUUUAUGUAUUUUAUUAUUUUUAAAUAUAAAUAAUAUAUUUAUAAGUUACUUUGUAGUAAGUUGUAAUGGCAAUUUAUAUAUGUUUAAUAUUUACUUUUUAUUUUAAUAUCUAUUAAAAUUAUGAUAAAAAUUUUAAAAAUUGAUUAUUGAGCUAACUUUUUACAAUCAUUUGUACAAAAAUUUAUUUUACAAACGCCGUUGAACUUGUUGAUCUUAAAAACAAAUGACUGAUGAAACUAAAAAGAAUUAUUUGAAAUAGGAUUUGUAUGAUUUAUAUAAUAAAAUAUAAUUAUAUAAUAUCAUUUAUAUAUGAAAUUUGCGUCCUUAUAUUUAGAAAAUAAAUCCUAUAUUUUAUUUCAUAUUUGAGAAUCUAAUUUAAUUUCCCCUCAAUAUUAUUCUUAAAAAUAUUAAAAAUAGAAAUAAUUUAAUAAAUUUUAAUUUAUAUAAUAUUAUAAUCCAAUGUAUCACAUUAAGCAUAGUUUUUUUUAAAUGAAAUAUGUUUAUGUUAUAGUUAAAGAUAUUAUAUUAGGGAGAAUGAUAUUAUUGUUUUAUUAGUUAUAUAUUGAUAAAUUUUUUAAUUUAAAUUGAUAUUAUAUACAAAAAUUUUAUACACAAUGAGCAAUAUGUUCUUUGUUGUGGUGAAUUAUAAUGUUUAAAUUCGUGAUAUAAAUAUCAAUGUAAUAUUUGAGUCUGAUUAAUAUGAUGUUCAUAAAAGAUAUCAUAUUAGUGAAGAUGAAGUGUAAAAUCAAUUGAAAAUCGAAGCUUCGAUUAAAUUGUAUAGAUAUAAAUUUAUUAUAUAUGACAAUCCAAUAAUAUAUUCUGCGAUUCAUAUAAUGUAUGAUGAUAAUGUAUAGAUAAUGAUUGUGGAAGGGUUGAGCUCGACAGCAAUGAAGAAGAAUAUGGAUCCGCGAUAUUCUAAAACCGAAAAAUCUAUAUUGUGAUGCUGUGCAAAAUAAUAGGGGUGAGCAAAAUUCGAUUUGAUUCGAAAAAAAAUCGAAUUUUGAGUUAAUUAAAUCGAGUUAUUCAAAUUAUUCAAGUCAACUCAAAUAAGUAAUUCGAGUUUCGAGUUCGAAUCGAGUCGAAUUUUACAAUUCAAAUAACUCAAAUAAUUCGAAUAACAUAUUGGUAUAAAUACCCUUUUGGUCUUUGUCAAUUUUAAAAUGAGCAAAUUGACCUCUCUCUCAAUAAAAAUUACAAAAUAAUUUUAAAAUUUCAAAAUAUUUAUAAAAAUUCCAAAUUUAUAUUUCUUAAAAAUUAUAAAAAAUUCUAAAAGUUCUAAAAAGUAUAUAAAGAAAGUUAAAAAAAAUUAAAAAUUUUCUAGAAUAAUAAUUUUGGCACAUAAAUAAGUUAAUUAAUGAUUCAAGUUUAUCGCACUAAAGUAAUUUUUUUUAUUUUGCUUUGAAAUUUUUUUCAAAUAUAUAUGGUUUCAAAUUUAUGUGCUAUAAUAUGAAAUUAGUUAUAGUAUAACAAGAUUUUAAUUUAAUAUGUUUAAUUUUUUAAUUUAACUCAAAUAAUUUUAUUCGAAUUGACUCGAAUUUCAUUUUACUCAAUUUAAUUUGAAAAAAUUUAAAUCGAGUUAAAAUGAUAAAAUAAGACUAAUUAACUUAAUUAACUUAAAAAAUUUUCAUUCGAUUCGAUCGAAUACUCACUCUUACAUAAUAAUGUACCAAGAGAGGCCAAAGUGUGGAGGUGCAAUAAUUACACAACUCAACUAUUUUGCAAAACUGUUUUUUAAAACUCUAAUAUAUAGAUGAUAAAAAAAAAAAGCCCUAGCCACUUGACAAUUUUUAACGAAAAGAGAAAAGGUUAGGGUAAGUAUAAUACACGUCACGUUAUUCCAGACAAGUUUUGCUUGCAGACACAGUUUCUUGCCUGUGAGUCGGUGACCCAUCUCAAAAUAUCACCCGUAACAUCUUUACCCAAUCACGCGGCCGCCUCCUAUUGGUUUGUCUCUUUGCGCAGCAAUACCCCACCCUCCCUACGUCCAGCUGUCUCACUACUUCAUAACAAUUGUAUCAUUCAAUUAGUUAUUGUAGGUUUAAUUUUUUCCAACCCCUUUACUCUUUCAGCUUUUAAAUUUUAAUCUAUCACCUUUUAAUUCCCUAUCUCUCCUGCUUGAUUUAAAAAUUAAAAUUUAAUUAAUAACAUUUCCAUUCAAUUUAAAUAUAUUAUUAUUUUUAGAUCAAGUCUUCGAAUAUUAAAAUGAUAUAUAUUCAAAUUUAACCAAGCUUUUGUGAAUUGGACUUUUAACUUUUAAAUAAAAAUGAAGAGAAACUAAAAUUUUAAAAUCAAAAGUAGAAAGCCUAAAUUUCAAAACCCCAACGAUAGAAUUAAACAUUUAUUAUAAUAUUAAUUACUAAGGUACACUAUACCUAAGUCACUAAAUUAUUAGUAAAUUUAUAUUUUGGUCACUUAACUUUAAAAAAUUACAACAUGGUCACUGAACUAUUUGAAAGUAUUUAUUUAAGUCAUUGGGUUAUUAAGUAUUUUUUUUAAAGUUCGGCUAGCGAGCUCCAAGCAAUGAUUCAACGGUUAGUACAAUGGAUUAGUACCUAUCAAAUAGUAGAACAUACCUCAUAUCCAAGUCAAUCUAAUAGUCAAUGUAAGAGAUCGGAGAAGAAAACUGUUUGAAUUUUGAUUCGUAAAUUCAUAACAUUCAAAGUUAUUCUAUGAAAAUAAUUAAAUUGUUGAAGAGAAGGAGAAUAAGAUCUUUUGAUUGGUGUAGACCGUGUGAAUAAAGAAAGCCAUAUAACAGAGAUUUAAUAUCUCAAUGAAUUAAAUAAAAACUUCCGAAUGAUUUAGUGACUAUUUUGUAACUUUUUAAAGUUAAAUGACUGAAAUGUAAAUUUAUUAAUAGUUCAGUGACCUUGGCUGUAGUUUACCCUAAUCAGGUAAUGUAACAGCAAAUUACAUGGUCAUGAAUGUGGGCCCCAAUCCAGACUGUCGAGUCUUGAUCGCCACAUUACAAUGUGUCUUUGUUUGAUAGUUUGAUGACGGUGGGCCCCGAAAUAGCUUCUCAUCCAACGGCUAUUUCUGAUCCAAACACGUUCCUAACUUUUUCUUCUUUUCUUUUUAUAAUCAUCAUUUUUUCUGAUUUUCUCUCCCUCAUUUAUUUAUAUAUUUAUUGAGAGUCUGUCAUCCCGUUGUCAUUAGUUUCUGUUACUACUUCACUCUCCCUCUGUCUUCAAGAAAUGGAUCGUAGAAGUGCAUUUGCCGUUGCUUUGAUUUGCUUUGUGGUGACCGCUGUCGGUGGUCAAUCUCCGGCAGCCUCACCUACUAAAGCUCCGCCGGCAGCGACUACUCCUGCCACUGCUCCCGCUACUGCCCCUGUUAGCAAACCUAAAUCACCGGCUCCAACUGCUGCCCCUACCACUUCCCCACCAACUUCUUCACCACCGGCUGCGGCUCCGGAGAAGUCUGCGGCGGUUCCAGCCCCAUCUAAAUCUGCUCCGGCUUCUUCUCCUCCGGCUGCUGCUCCGGUGAGUUCUCCACCGGCUCCAGUACCUGUGAGCUCUCCUCCAGCCAAAUCGCCUCCCGUUGCUGCACCGACGACUCCACCAGAGAGCUCGGCCUCUCCUCCGGCUCUUGUUGCGGCACCAACUACUGCUGAGGUUCCGGCCCCAGCUCCAAGCAAGAGCAAGAGCAAAAGCAAGAAAUCCAAGAAACACCAUGCUCCGGCUCCUUCACCUGAUAUGCUUGGACCUCCCGCUCCACCAACUGGAGCUCCUGGACCUAGCCUCGAUGCUUCCUCUCCCGGUCCAUCUGUCGCUGCCGAUGAGGUACAUUCUCUUCUCUUUACUAACGCUUCAGUAGCUUACAUCAUAUAACAAUGCGCUUUCAGAUCUGAACUUUUACACUGCAUAAAUGUAGAGAGAUCUUGUUUUUCUUUUAAUCGCGUCUAAAGGAUGCACCGUUGAGCUAGUUCAUUUACUUUUCUGAAAAAGGACCGACCAAUGGAUCUUUUUUUCAUCUUAAAACUAUAUUUAUUUGUAACAUUUAAAGAGUUAUUAUUAACAAAUGCAGAGUGGAGCAGCGGCAAUGAAGAACAUGAAGAAGAUAAUUGGAGGGUUGGCGUUGGGAUGGGCAGCCAUUGCUUUGAGCUUCUAGAUUGGUUUUGAUCACAUUCCACAUUCUGCGUUCUAAUUCUUUGGUUGGUGUACUGAGAGGCGGAAACUCUAGUUUUUUUUUCCUAUGUAAUUUCCACCAUUCUUUUUUUUUCCCCUUCAUUUACCCAUUUUCUGUCUUUUAUUUCUCUAUUAUAUUUUAAUAAAAUCACAAUUUAUUUUACUAAUACCAAUGCUAAUGAAUCUCAAGAUCAUUUGUGCAGGUUAAACAUUGUAAAAGUAACAAAACUGAAACGAUCAUAUAGCUCAUGAACCAUUACAGGGAAAUUGGUUAGACAAUGUUCCAAUGAAAGUACAGGAAAGCUUAAAAUGGCAGCAAAUGCAUAUCUUACAAAUCAAUCUGAAUAUUUAGUUUAAUCUGAAAGAACAGUUUUGAGUAAAAAGUAAUUAGGCAUGGGGGCAUAAACCAGGAGAGACGUUAUUCAUUGGUUCCUAUCGUCUUCUCCCCCGGCUGCAAACACCAGACAGACUUACAUGUAUGAAACUUCUUACAUUCACAAUUGCCACGUAUCAGAAGAAGCACUUCACAAGAGGACUCUACAAAUUAAAAAUUCUCUUUUUCUCUACAACAAAACCCUGUAAAAUGUAAGCCCAAGCAGCAAACCUUCAAAAUGCAUUAUUUGAAGCAUCAAAUGUAUACAAACUGUAUUAGACCCAAUGCCUACUUUCAAGCGUGAUUCGUCCUUAAUUCUAAAGCUUUUAAUUUUAUUGGUUAAUAUUGGUGUUUUUGUCGUUUUCCCAUCAACCCAAAGCCAAAAGCAUGCAAAUUCCCUUCACUUGGAAUAUGGAGAUGGUAAAGUAGAAAAGUAUUCAUAAUACGCUAUGAUAUAUAUAUGCGUGUGUGCGUGUAAAUGGCCACUAUGAAGCGUGUGUGCGUGUAAAUGGCCACUAUGAAGCUUUCUUAUUUGCUCGAAAAAGAAGGCAAAUAUUAAUUAAUAAUAUAUAAUAUUUGGCAUUCAUUAAUAAGACUCAGUGAAAUAAAUAAUUAAGAUAAUAUAAUUAAUUUAAUAUAUACCAGGUUGAUUUAUCCAUUUAUGCUGAAAAAAAAAUCUACAUUUAAUUAUCUAUGUUUUUUUUUUAAUUUAUCAAUGUUGUUUUGAAGAGAGAAAGGAAAGCACGUCUUACAUGGUGCAUUUUCACUGUCUAUGUCAUUGAAAAUGCGUCUUAUAGGGCGUAUUUUUAGCUACGUCAGCUGAACAUGUGUCAUGUUUUCACAAAUUGACAAUUUAGCUCUUUUGAUCAGAUGGUUAAGCGUUAGUGUUUUUAGUCUUUAAGUCUUAGGUUCAAUUCCUCUCCUAUUCAUUUUUAUAAUUUUUAUUUCAUGUUAUUUUAAGUUUUUUUUAAUUAAUAUUUUUGACACAUUAGCUCUUUUGGUUAGAUGAUUAGAUAAUUGUGAUUUCUUCUUUCAGUCCUAAGUUUGAUUCCUUUUAUAAGAAUUUUAAUAUGUAUUUUUUAUUUCAAUUUUUUUAUUAUUUUUAAUUAAUAUUUUUAAUUAAUAAAUAUAUUGUUUUCAAGUUUUUUUAUUUUUUAUUUAUCUUUUUAAUUAAUAACUCUUUUAUUUAUAAAAUCAAAUAAUUAUUGAAAAUAUCAUUAUUUUUAGUAAAUAUAAUUUUUAUUUGUGUAAUUUUUAUCUUUCAAUCCAUAUCAUGAAUGUAGUAAAUUGACAUAUUAUAUAUUUUUGUAUAAUGUAUGAUGAUGAUGAAUAGAUAUAAAUUUAUUAUAUAUGACAAUCCAAUAAUAUAUUCUACGAUUCAUACAAUAUAUGAUGAUGAUGUAUAGAUAAUGAUUGUGGAAGGGUCGAGCUUUAUAGCAUUGAAGAAGAAUAUAGAUCGGCGAUAUUUUAAAACCGAAAAAUCUAUAUUGUGAUGCUGUGCAAAAUAAUAGGAGUGAGCAAAAUUCAUUUGAUCCAAAAAAAUUAAAUUUUGAGUUAAUUGAAUCGAGUUAUUUGAAUUAUUCAAGUCAACUCGAGUAAGUAAUUCGAGUUUCGAGUUCGAAUCGAGUUGAAUUUUACAAUUAAAAUAACUCGAAUAAUUCGAAUAACAUAUUGGUAUAAAUACCUUUUUGGUCUCUGCCAAGUUUGAAAAUGAACAAAUUGACCUCUCUCUCAAUAAAAAUUACAAAAUAAUUUUAAAAUUUCAAAAUAUUUAUAAAAAUUCCAAAUUUAUACUUUUUAAAAAUUAUAAAAAUUUCAAAAAAAAAUCUGAAAAAAUAUAAAGAAAGUUAAAAUAUUAAAAUUUUUCUAGAAUAAUAAUUUUGGGACCUAAAUAAGUUAAUUAAUGAUUCAAGUUUAUCAUACUAAAGUAAUUUUUUUAUUCUGCUUUGAAAAAGUUUUCAAAUAUAUAUGGUUUCAAAUGUAAGUGUUAUAACAUGGAAUUAGUUAUAGUAUAACAAGAUUUUAAUUUAACAUGUUUAAUUUUUUAAUUUAACUCGAACAAUUUCAUUCGAAUUGACUCGAAUUUUAUUUUACUCAAUUCAAUUUGAAAAAAAUUUAAAUCGAGUUAGAAUGAUAAAAUAAAACUCGUUAACUCAAUUAACUCAAAAAUUUUUAAUAGAGACAGUGGAAUACUCACUUUUACAUAAUAAUGUACCGAGAGAGGCCAAAGGGUGGAGGUGAAAUAAUUACACAACUCAACUAUUUUGCAAAACUUUUUUUAAAACUCUAAUAUAUAGAUGAUAAAAAAAAGCCUUAGCCACUUGACAAUUUUUAACGAAAAGAGAGAAGGUUAGGGUGUUUAAGUAUAAUACACGUCACGUUACUCCAGACAAGUUUUGCUUGCAGAGACACAGUUUCUUGCCGGUGAGUCGGUGACCCAUCUCAAAAUAUCACCCGUAACUGCUUUACCCGGUCACGCGGCCGCCUCCUAUUGGUUUGUCUCUUUGCGCAGCCAUAGCCCACUCUCCCUACGUCCAGCUGUCUCACUACUUCAUAACAAUUGUAUCAUUCAAUUAGUUAUUGUAGGUUUAAUUUUUUCCAACCCCUUUACUCUUUCAGCUUUUAAAUUUUAAUCUAUCACCUUUUAAUUCCCUAUCUCUCCUGCUUGAUUUAAAAAUUAAAAUUUAAUUAAUAACAUUUCCAUUCAAUUUAAAUAUAUAUUAUUAUUAUUUUUAGAUCAAAGCUUCGAAUAUUAAAAUUUAACCAAGUUUUCAUGAAUUGGACUUUUAAAUAAAAAUGAAGAGAAACUAAAUUUUUAAAAUCAAAAGUAGGAAGGCUAAAUUUUAAAACCCCAAAGAGUAUAGGGGUUGGGGAUAGAAUUAAACAUUUAUUAUAAUAUUAAUUAGUAGGGUAAACUACACCUAAGGUCACUAAAUUAUUAGUAAAUUCAUAUUUUGGUCACUUAACUUUAAAAAAUUACAACAUGGUCACUGAAUUAUUCAAAAGUAUUUAUUUAAGUCAUUGAGUUGUUAAGUAUUUUUUUAUGACGAUUGAUACAAUGGAUUAGUACCUAUGAAGAGUAGAACAUACCUUGUAAGAGAUCGAAAAAGAAAACUGUUUGAAUUUUGAUUCGUAAAUUCAUAACAUUUAAAGUUGCUCCACGAAAAUAAUUAAAUUGUUGAAGAGAAGAAGAAUGAGAUUUUAUGAUUGGUGCAGACCGUGUGUAUAAAGAAAGUUAUCCAACAGCGAUUUAAUAGCCCAAUGAAUUAAAUAAAAUCCUUCGAAUGAUUUAGUGACUAUUUUCUAACUUUUUGAAGUUGAACGACUUAAAUGUAAAUUUAUUAAUACUUCAGUGACCUUGGGUGUAGUUUACCCUACUCAGGUAAUGUAACAACAAAUUACAUGGUUCAUGUAUGUGGGCCCCCAAUCCAGACUGUCGAGUCUUGAUCGCCACAUUACAAUUUGAUGACGGUGGGCCCCGAAAUAGCUUCUCAUCCAACGGCUAUUUCUGAUCCAAACACGUUCCUAACUUUUUCUUCUUUUCUUUUUAUAAUCAUCAUUUUUUCUGAUUCUCUCCCUCAUUUAUUUAUAUAUUUAUUGAGAGUCUGUCGUCUCGUUGUCAUUAGUUUCUGUUACUACUUCACUCUCCCUCUGUCUUCAAGAAAUGGAUCGUAGAAGUGCAUUUGCAGUUGCUUUGAUUUGCUUUGUGGUAACCGCUGUCGGUGGUCAAUCUCCGGCAGCCUCACCUACUAAAGCUCCGCCGGCCGCGGCUACUCCUGCUACUGCUCCCGCUACUGCCCCUGUUAGCAAAUCUAAAUCACCGGCUCCAACUGCUGCCCCUACCACUUCCCCACCAACUUCUUCACCACCGGCUGCGGCUCCGGAGAAGUCUGCGGCGGUUCCAGCCCCAUCUAAAUCUGCUCCGGCUUCUUCUCCUCCGGCUGCUGCUCCGGUGAGUUCUCCACCUGCUCCAGUACCUGUGAGCUCUCCUCCAGCCAAAUCGCCUCCCGUUGCUGCACCGACGACUCCACCAGAGAGCUCGGCCUCUCCUCCGGCUCCUGUUGCUGCACCAACUACUGCUGAGGUUCCGGCCCCAGCUCCAAGCAAGAGCAAGAGCAAAAGCAAGAAAUCCAAGAAACACCAUGCUCCGACUCCUUCACCUGAUAUGCUUGGACCUCCCGCUCCACCAACUGGAGCUCCUGGACCUAGCCUCGAUGCUUCCUCUCCCGGUCCAUCUGUCGCUGCCGAUGAGGUACAUUCUUUUUCUUUACUAACGCUUCAGUAGCUUACAUCAUAUAACAAUGCGCUUUCAG